AGGAUCUCCCUCAUGUCACUCCUACCUUGAGAGGAAUAUAGGUCUUGGUAGAAUGACAGUAUCUCAGUCUGGUCCUCCUCACUGGUCGCACAAACUGAGCCGUCUGCCCGCACCAGGCCACAGAUCUUAUUCAUACGUUGUCGUUGCUUUGCCUGGGCAUGGAAAUACUUUGUGUUGCGGUCACCCUCUUUCAACCAUCUUACUCUGGAUCGUUGCCGCAUCCAGAUUUCUUCCUGCUUCAGAGCCAACCGGAGUUUCGCUGCAGUUGCCUUUUCCUCAUCAGAUGGGCCACGCCCAACCGAAGACCGCCGCAGCUUAUCAAGCUUGCGCUGUAACUGACGGACAGACCGGGCCAAACAACCAAAUUCUUUCGCACCCCAUGGCUCGAGGGUUCUCUGUAAUGUUCCCACCGACUCCAUGAUCCUGUGACAACCCGAUGCCGACGUUCCAGAAGAUUCCCCUCUCUUUCUGUUUUCGUCGCGUGUCUAUUUUAUUUGUUGCAUCACCAUCGCAUCAUGCACAUCAUCUGCAUGCCAUCGGUGUCUCCGUUGCCGCCAGUUUUCAAACUUGCACCCGUUGUUAGUUGCCGGUUAACGUCGUUGUUCAUUCCGAGCCCGACCGCACUCGCACGCGCCCGCGGCACCGUCGAAACCCUGUUUUUAAAGUGCAUUUAAAACUUUCUCUGAUCGAGGUGAAACUUGGCACGCGGUCGCGAAUAGAUAUAGCUAGGCCGCCUGUCGAAUUUCGUCGCGAUCGGAGACCGUCUGGUACCCGAACGGUCGACCGUAGCGGCACCGUAUUCGGGCUACCGUCGGACGUCUGUCAGUGUUUUAAAAUUCGUGCCGCGCCGCCCGUUCUCCCUCUCAUCUCCGGUUAUCCCCUCUACACGGCCGCGUACCCAUACCCGUGUUCGAAAUUGUCCAAAUCCGACCCCGUGGUUGGAUCCGGAGCGCGAUUCCGGUUAACCGAGCCCCCCGUUUGUCUAUAUAUAGGCCCCUUCCUUAAUUUUAGGCAACCAACCCUAAUACCACCUUGGGAUCCGCGCCGCCCCACCUCUCCUCUCUCUCCCGCAGCCUCUCUCCCCACCAGCCUCGCGGCCCCGCCAGGCCCAGAUCAGGCCCGGCCGAGCCCAUCCGGCCGCCGCCGCCCGUGCCCGCAGCAGCAGCCCGAGCCGCCUCCAGCCGCCCGCCGCCGCCGGAGCCCUCUGCGCCUCGCCCACCGGAGUUCCUCGCCCCGCCACCGUCGGGAUCUCGCUGGAUCCGGCCGCCGCACCCUCGCCUGCGCCGUCCGCCGCCGUCAGCCCCUGGUCGCCGCCUUCCCUGCGGGCUUGCCGCGCCGUCCUCUGCUUCCCGUGCUGGCUACCUUCGUCCCUGCCUCGAGUUGCCUCGCCGCCGCCUCGGUCCUGCAGGUCCGGCCGGUCCCGCCGCCGCCAUGCGCCGCCACCCGAGCCCGGAUCCGGUCCCAGUGCUCGCCGUGGUUGCCCUCGGCCUCCCGUCGGCGACCUGCGCCGUUGCUGCUUCCGAGGGCACGGGAGGGCGCUCCUCGACCCCGCGUUGACCGCGAUCUGCCUCUGCUGGGCCCGAGCCGGCCCAGGACAGGGUGCUCCCGCAGUGGCCCAGCUCGCGCCUCGCCCUCGGCCCAACAGGAGCAGCAGCUCCAUCCUCCAGCGCCCGCCAGUGGGCCCCGCGGCCGGCCCAGCUCGCCAGUCCCGUCGGCCCAAGCGGCCACGCUGGUGAGCCCACUCCCUACCUCUAUCCUCCGCCAUGGCGUCAUAUAGCUAGUACGCGCAUGCCCCUCUGUUUAGGCUUGUUAACAGAGUCGGCCCAGUAGAUAUUUAGGAUUUAAUCCGAAUUUAAUCCGUUUUCAGAAAAAUAGACGUUUAAUAAAAACCCCGUAACUUUUUAUCCGUAAGUCGGAACGACGCGUAUUAUAUAUGGUUUUGUGGUAGUUUCGCGCGUAGAAUACGAAUUUGAAACUUGCAUAUUUAUUUGACGUCGUUUAGCGUGCUGGUUGCCUAGAUAAGCGUGCUGUCCUAAUAGGUUUCGACUCGUAUUUAUUUUUCGUGCAAGACCGGGUUCCUCGAGUGCCUUAGAUAAAAUGUAUAUGUUUUAGGGACUAUUUAUCCAUGUAUUUUAGACCAGUCAUUUGUAUUUUUGCGUGUACGGAUUUGCCGGUAGUUUAUUUUCCCGUAUAUAGGUGUUUAUUUCGCAUUAAUGUGUGGCUUUAUUAUGUGUUGCAAACCCCACAUAUUUUAUAUGUUUCCGGGGUAGAAAAAUCCAUGGGAUUUUUCUGUGCAGUUAGUUUUAGCUUUUGGAUAAGUUAGUUCGCGAGAUAUGUUACCGUGUUGGCCUUUUGAUUAAUUCGUAGGAUUUAUUCCGUGCCUCGUUUGAGUUAGUUGUCAACUAGGGAGUUGAUCUUGGAUGUUUUGUUUAGCCCCUGAUAUUUUUAGUUGCAAUAGAAAUGCAUGUUUAGGUGUGUUUCGAUAGCCCUCAAGUUGCUAGAAAUAGUGCUGUUUUAGACGUGCUGAAAUAUUUCUAAGUCUGGAAUCUGGUAUAUUUUGUUGCUGUCUUGUCUUGCUUCUAUCUUUNNNNNNNNNNNNNNNNNNNNNNNNNNNNNNNNNNNNNNNNNNNNNNNNNNNNNNNNNNNNNNNNNNNNNNNNNNNNNNNNNNNNNNNNNNNNNNNNNNNNAGUGUUCCGCGUGCGCAACUGUUUUGCACCCGUUGUAUGUGAACGUUGAGUCUAUCACACCCGAUCAUCACGUGGUGUCUCGAAACGACGAACUGUAGCAACGGUGCACAGUCGGGGAGAACACAAUUUCGUCUUGAAAUUUUAGUGAGAGAUCACCUCAUAAUGCUACCGUCGUUCUAAGCAAAAUAAGGUGCAUAAAAGGAUUAACAUCACAUGCAAUUCAUAAGUGACAUGAUAUGGCCAUCAUCUCGUGCUUCUUGAUCUCCAUCGCCAAAGCACCGGCACGAUCUUCUUGUCACCGGCGCCACACCAUGAUCAUCCAUCAACGUGCUGCCAUCGGGGUUGUCGUGCUACUUAUGCUAUCACUACUAAAGCUACAUCCUAGCAAAAUAGUAAACGCAUCUGCAAGCACAUAUGUUAGUAUAAAGACAACCCUAUGGCUCCUGCCGGUUGCCGUACCAUCGACGUGCAAGUCGAUAUUUCUAUUACAACAUGAUCAUCUCAUACAUCCAAUAUAUCACAUCACAUCAUUGGCCAUAUCACAUCACAAUCAUACCCUGCAAAAACAAGUUAGACGUCCUCUAAUUUUGUUGUUGCAUGUUUUACGUGGUGACCAAGGGUAUCUAGUAGGAUCGCAUCUUACUUACGCAAACACCACAACGGAGAUAUAUGAGUUGCUAUUUAACCUCAUCCAAGGACCUCCUCGGUCAAAUCCGAUUCAACUAAAGUUGGAGAAACCGUCACUUGCCAGUCAUCUUUGAGCAAAGGGGGUUACUCGUAACGAUGAAACCAGUCUCUCGUAAGCGUACGAGUAAUGUCGGUCCAAGCUGCUUCGAUCCAACAAUACCGCGGAAUCAAGAAAAGACUAAGGAGGGCAGCAAAACGCACAUCACCGCCCACAAAACCUUUUGUGUUCUACUCGAGAAGACAUCUACGCAUGAACCUAGCUCAUGAUGCCACUGUUGGGGAACGUCGCAAGGGAAACAAAAAUUUUCCUACGCGCACGAAGACCUAUCAUGGUGAUGUCCAUCUACGAGAGGGGAUGAGUGAUCUACGUACCCUUGUAGAUCGUACAGCAGAAGCGAUUAGAGAUCGCGGUUGAUGUAGUGGAACGUCCUCACGUCCCUCGAUCCGCCCCGCGAACAAUCCCGCGAUCAGUCCCACGAUCUAGUACCGAACGGACGGCACCUCCGCGUUCAGCACACGUACAGCUCGACGAUGAUCUCGGCCUUCUUGAUCCAGCAAGAGAGACGGAGAGGUAGAAGAGUUCUCCGGCAGCGUGACGGCGCUCCGGAGGUUGGUGAUGAUCUUGUCUCAGCAGGGCUCCGCCCGAGCUCCGCAGAAACACGAUCUAGAGGAAAAACUAUGGAGGUAUGUGGUCGGGCAGCCGUGAGAAAGUCGUCUCAAAUCAGCCCUAAAACCUCCGUAUAUAUAGGUGGGAGGGAGGGGAGGAGGCAGCCUCAAAACCUAAAGGUUUGGCCGAAAUUGGAGGUGGAGGAGUCCUACUCCAAUCCUACUUGGAGUAGGAUUCCACCUUCCCACUUGGAAACUCUUUCCACCUUGUGUUUUUUCCUUCUCAAACCUUAUGGGCCUUAGUGGGAACUUAUUCCAGCCCACUAGGGGCUGGUUUAUCUCUUCCCAUAGCCCAUGAGACCCCUUGGGGCGUGACACCCCUCCCGAUGGUCCCCGGCACCCCUCCCGGCACUCCCGGUACACUACCGAUGAGCCCGAAACUUUUCCGGUAAUGCACGAAAACCUUCCGGUAACCAAAUGAGGUCAUCCUAUAUAUCAAUCUUCGUUUCCGGACCAUUCCGGAAACCCUCGUGACGUCCGUGAUCUCAUCCGGGACUCCGAACAACAUUCGGUAACCAACCAUAUAACUCAAAUACGCAUAAAACAACGUCGAACCUUAAGUGUGCAGACCCUGCGGGUUCGAGAACUAUGUAGACAUGACCCGAGAGACUCCUCGGUCAAUAUCCAAUAGCGGGACCUGGAUGCCCAUAUUGGAUCCUACAUAUUCUACGAAGAUCUUUAUCGUUUGAACCUCAGUGCCAAGGAUUCGUAUAAUCCCGUAUGUCAUUCCCUUUGUCCUUCGGUAUGUUACUUACCCGAGAUUCGAUCGUCAGUAUCCGCAUACCUAUUUCAAUCUCGUUUACCGGCAAGUCUCUUUACUCGUUCCGUAAUACAAGAUCCCGUAACUUACACUAAGUUACAUUGCUUGCAAGGCUUGUGUAUGAUGUUGUAUUACCGAGUGGGCCCCGAGAUACCUCUCCGUCACACGGAGUGACAAAUCCCAGUCUCGAUCUAUACUAACUCAACGAACACCUUCGGAGAUACCUGUAGAGCAUCUUUAUAGUCACCCAGUUACGUUGCGACGUUUGAUACACACAAAGCAUUCCUCCGGUGUCCGUGAGUUAUAUGAUCUCAUGGUCAUAGGAACAAAUACUUGACACGCAGAAAACAGUAGCAACAAAAUGACACGAUCAACAUGCUACGUCUAUUAGUUUGGGUCUAGUCCAUCACAUGAUUCUCCUAAUGAUGUGAUCCCGUUAUCAAGUGACAACACUUGCCUGUGGCCAGGAAACCUUGACCAUCUUUGAUCAACGAGCUAGUCAACUAGAGGCUUACUAGGGACAGUGUUUNNNNNNNNNNNNNNNNNNNNNNNNNNNNNNNNNNNNNNNNNNNNNNNNNNNNNNNNNNNNNNNNNNNNNNNNNNNNNNNNNNNNNNNNNNNNNNNNNNNNUUUGUAAUAAAUUGAAUUAAUAUUAUGUGUUUGAAAAUACUAUUCGAUGUUAUUGAGAUGAUGAAAAUUAUGAUAUAUCAAAUGACAGUUUUAAGGGUUGGGAUUGAGGCAAAGACUAGAACCCUCAAAUGCAACCCUUAUAACAGAAUCCCUCAAACCCAACCCUUAUAACGGAAUCCGUUAUMRKRGUWGGUGGUUUGAGGGUUCUAGCCUUUGCGUUUGUUUUUCAACCCUUAAAAGUGUCAAAAAUAACCAAUUCUUUAACCCUUAAAACUGGUUUUAGAUUUAAGGGUUUGAGGACUCUACUAGACAUGCUCUAACCAUCCAACCACGGGUUGGUUUGCCUAUCUCGGGCCCUUGAUAGCAUCGCAAGCAUAACUUCCUCCGCAGUGCCGGUCGUACUUUCCAUUUCAUCAGAUCAUAGGGUAAAAUUCGGCGACUCUGUAUAUGAAAACCGACCAAAUAUCCACUUUGCUAAGCAACCCCGUUCUGACUUUUCGCGGGAUGACCGCGAUAUUUCUACCGUACAUUGCAUACGUUGGUCCCGUGGCAAAUACGAACGGCUGGUGUUUUUUCCGGGAAACACCAACACCAGCCGUGGCCGGUGCGUCUAAAAAUCUGGGGAAGUAUCCCCUCGUUUCGCCCGACCGUACACGCCGUAGCAACCCAUUCGCCCCGCUGUUGCCGCGACCGUCGUUAUUUUCCUCGGAAUGGAUCAAUGGAAGCAGCUUCGUGUUCAUUGGUCAUCGCUGCAACACGCCUUGACGAGAAGGCUUCGUUCAUCCACACACAAGAUAGGCUGCAGCGUGCCCGUCGUUAUCGACGGAAGCAAGCUGAGCGUACACUAUCAGUCGCAAAUGGCGGUUCAAUCAAGCCGCUGCAGGUGCCGGUGCGUACUGUCGCCUAGAAAACAGGCGUUGACCAGUGCAUACUCGCUGGGAGCACAAAAUAAGUUAAAAUACUAACCAUCAACUUCACUGAACAACCGCAUCGCAGAUGUGAAACAGCAAACACACCAUGCAACGGUCGCAGAACAGAUAAAACCAUCAACUCAAAUUUCCCACGACAUCUUAUCUUCCAGGUCAGCAAAAUCUAUCCUUGACAUGUCAUCAACAAAGAAAGCCCACGCCACGAAAACGCGGCGCCCAAAAAAAACCCGGCCAAAAAGCAAACAAUCUAGGUUUUCGACAUUAUCCAAAAGCAAAAUUUACAUUACGCUAGGAGCUAGCUAGGUUUCCUGAGCAUAUCUCGCCCUCUCCCUCCUAAUGAUGCUGUCUAGUGCUUCUUAGGAUUAACGACCAAGGCCUGGCAGCACGAAGAGAAAGCAUCUGACACGUCGAGGAUCGGGGGGAGAGUGAAAGGAGGGAGGACGCCGCCCUUGUCGUGCGCAAAGGUUGUCAAGGCAUUCCCAGCGAGGGUGUGCGCCAUCGCGGUCUGCUGCUUGUUCAACCCCUCCAUGAUGCACGAGAAUGCUGCGAAGGUGGCGCAAUUCUGAAGCAGCGCUUGUGGUGUACCUGGAUUCAAGCAAACAAGCGUGUAAGAAAAUCAUGCCACCAAAGCCUCAACAAUUUAACAAAAUGACAGUGGUUGAUAUUAAUAAACAUAGUCGGUUAAAGGUAGCAGCCUGGGGGUAGCAAGUGCAGAUAUGAUCUUGAUUAAACAAAAUCAUGCUUGAAAUAUCCUUUCAGUGCAAACUUCUUCUUUUGUUAGAACAACUGAAGAUUGCUGCCUAGAGCUCCUUAGGCCAUGUACAAUGCAAGGCGCUUAGGGGAGGUGCUUGUAGAGAAAUAAACCAGCGUUUAUUUAAGCACCGGUGCUUAUUUGUAGAGGGUAGACACUUAAUUAGGCGUCUCUCCUAUAGAAACAGGCACUGGUGCUUCAGAGAAACCCGGUUUAUUUUUCUAAGCACCUACCAUUGUACAAGGCCUUGGACACUUGGGGUGUGUUUAGUUGCUGGAACGGACCGGAAUGUCACGGGUCCGACCCGUCCCUGGGCCUCGUUCUUGUGUUCAGUUAACAGAUGGAACGAUCACCACCUCGUUCCCAUAAACCGAAUAUUCGUCCCAGAUCCGGAACCGUGUGAGACCUCCAAAACGAGCGGACGACGCGGAACCGGCUCUCUCCUCACACUCCCACUCCUCCUGGCCCGCUGCCUCCCCCUCGCCUCUCUCUCUCUCGCUCGAUCUGCGCCGCCCCGCCCCGCCCCGAUUCCUUCCCUCGCCGCUGGCGAACUGCUUUUCUUGAUCUGCAGCGCUGCUCCACCUCCGGUCCCUGAUCUGGCCAUCCCGGGCGCAUCCCUCGUCUCCCUGUGUAGCACUCCUCGAUAGCAACGACGACGCGUUCCUACAGGCAGCGGCUGGAUUUUUGGUGGCAUUCCUUGGCAGCAGCGUCUUGCGGGGAAUCGAUUAUGCUUGCAACCACGGAGCAACAACCAUGGAGUAGCAGCAGCUGAGCCUCGGCAGGAAGUGGCUAGCAGGCAGCGGAGCGAGAGCAGCAUCGGCUUGCACAGAGAUGAGAGGCAGUAUAGGAAUUGCUUGGUGCGUAUGUUCGAUUGCUUCAACAUAGAGCUUAAUUAGUAUAUAUAGUAGCAGCAUCUAAUUUCUCAUGAUUUUUGUUUGAUGCGUAUGUUGGAUUGCUGGGUAAUGAUUUUUUACCUAUAUAUGUGUCUUGUUAAAUACUCCCUCCAUUUUUAAAUAUAAGGUGUAUUAGUUUUUCAAAAAGUCAACUGUUGUCUAUGUUUGACCAGCAUUAUAGCAAAAUAUAUAAAUAUUUACAAUACCGAAUAUAUAUAAUAUAAAAAUAUAUUUCAGGGUGAAUCUAGUGAUAAUGAUUUCAUAUUCUAGGUAUUGAUAUUUUUGUCAAUAAACUCAAACUUUGACUUUUUUCAAAAAUAAUACACCUUAUAAUUAGGAGAGGGGGUAGAAAAUAGUGUGAAUUUAUGUUUGUAUAUGCUUGAGUGUAUUUAUAAAUUGUUGGCCUUGGAAAAAAAAUUCAAAUGUUUAUCAGUAUUUGAUUACUCUGUUGCUGAAAAUACAAAGAGUAAAAUUGUUCAUAGUGUUGGUGAAAAUCAUUCCAUUCCCAACUCCCAAACCAAACACACAACAGGACCAUUCCAUUCCAGCUAAAUCUCAUAGCCAAACAUAGGAAUGGAACCGACCUAUUCCCGUGGAAUGGAAGCAUGACAUUCCAUUCCGCUUCGUUCUUGAACCAAACACACCCUGAAUACUACACUUGUUGAAAUGGCAUGACUGCCAUGAGCCAGAAGCACAUGCGCCACUGCCAGUAAAGCAACAGAGAGAUGCAGUGUGAACAGAGUGGGUAUGUGUGAUGCAUAAGAUUGUGUUUAGCACAUCACCAACUUAAACUAUAAUUACCACCACUGAUAAACACAUGCGCAUUGCAGUUUAAUUGGAGUGCAAGAUGUGAAGUCCUUAACAGUAUCUCAAAGAAUUCAAGGGCUUGGUCAGUUAAAUGGACUCUUUGCAUUGUUGCCCAGUGGCUGCAGGACUCCAUAACAAGCAAGACAGGCAGUUAGUGUCUUCUACUGUUAAAAUUGUAGAUGAUGCUUCAUCUUAUCAUGCAAACAAUAACUCCUGAUUUUAGUGAAUUACGUACAAGUGAUAUUGGGCUUAUUGUAAAUUAAUUUACUUGAAAUUCUACAAUGAUAAUAAGUAAUUCAGUCUUGUAUUUCCAGGCCAAUUUCAGUGCAUGUUUGUACUCAGUUUCUCUAAGUAAGUAUGAUAACAAUAUACAUCAUGAACUGGACACACAGCUAAAAUUAAACUUUAUCACUCAAUGGAUAAAUUACACAGUUGGAUAACAAACUAGAAACCUAAUUAUAACAUGUUCGAAGUGUUGAUUACAAGGACCAUCCCAGAAUCCAUGCAUAGGAGCUUAGCAAUUCAUAUUUACAGAAAUAACAUUUUCUGAUAAUCUAAAGAACAAUCUUUUUUAUGUAUUCCAGCAACAAGAAUAACAACAAAGAGUACUUUGUCACCAGAAAGUGAAGACAAAGCCAAAAACUGCUUUCAACUACUACCAAAUUUUUUCAGAACAUUAUGCAAUACCACCGAAUAUCGCAUCACAACAUCUUCAUACUAAUACUAAGCAAUGGCAAUCACAAUCUAUAUCUAUAUCUAUACCUAAUAAUAAAGCGGCUAUUGCUUCCGUCGGAAAACCCACCGCGGCAUUUUUAUAAAAAAGCCCCUGUAAUUUUUGUUAUUCAACCUGCGCUCCAUCAUUUAUCUGCAACGUAAAAGGAAAAAACGAUUCGCUGCAAAAAUUAUACCCGUACGCAUCGCCUCCUCCCGUCUACCCUGGGCCACCCUGGCCUGUGCCCAGGCCGCCGCCACACCACUCGCCGCCGCGGCCGACCUCAACCGCCACUGCUGCCGAUCUCAACCCAUCCGCCUCCGCGGCCGUACCUCUCCCCGCUCAACUGCCCCUGUUGCUGCGCUCAAGCGCAUCGCGUCGACCCUGGUCCACCCUGGCAUGUGCCCAGGCCGCUGCCACACCACUCGCCGCCGCGGCCGACCUCAACCACCACUGUUGUCGAUCUCAACCCACCCGCCUCCGCGGCCGUACCUCUGCCCGCUUGCUGCACCCUGUUUCGGCGCUCGAGCACAACUUCUGGAUCAAAUCAACGCGACAGCUACAGUGACUGGGGAUGAUGCGUCUGCUCGAUGCAGAACGGCGGCGGCGCGCGGAUAAGGCGCGGCGGAGCGAAGUACUUGCAGGUGGAGGCGGGCCUCCAUGGCUCACACGGGGAACUCCGAGGUUAUGGCGCGGCAACGGCAACUCCUUAUGACCAGAUAGAGGCGCCUAACCCUUGCUCCCCUCAUCGUAUCCCCUCCUCCGGCAGGAACUCAUCAUCUGGUGAGAUCCCCUCCCCAUGCCUCCAACCGUGUGCGAAGCACCGGCAAGAAAUUUUGUUUUGUGGAGAUUUGUUUGCUGAUGAAUGGAUGUAUUGAAUGUAAGAUUGUAUUGUUGUAGAGACAGAGAAUGGAACACCACCUUCAGUUUGUCAUCUGAUCCCACAUUCUCUACCCCAUGAGUGAAAUAAGAUAACAGUCCAUUGAUCAAUUCACGUAGCCUCAUUGUUUUGCUUUGCUUGUCCCGCUCAAUUUCUCAUCAUGGUGGAAUUAACAAUGGACGGGUUGAUUUCUCAACAAAAUAGGAUAGGACUGACUACAUUAGUUAGUUAGCUUAUUAUUUUAAUAAAUCAAAAUGAUUAUAAAAAGAUUAAAAGUGUGUGGUAUUUUUUUCUUCCGUUGCAAUGCACGGGCCCUUUUGCUAGUAGUAAGUAAGCGGUGAAAAAUGUUGUUAGUUCAAUGUGAAUGUACCUGGAAAACUCAAAGCAAGACCUGUGCAACAACCAGCAAUGCCGGAAUUGAUAACUGCAAAAGGAACAUGUUAGUUCAUACUGUGUAUCCAACUCCCAAGGUGUUAAUAAAAAGGUGACCACUAAAAAGAUGCACAUACUAUCAUCUUUCCCACGCAGCUUCCUCAACAAGCACAAAACCAAACUCUGGACACCAGAUAGAACCGCAAAACUCUGGUCCAAGAAAUUUAUACCAUCAGCAAGCAGUUUAUGAAAAUGAUAGGGCAAUUUCCUAGUUAAGAAUAUGCACACAAAGGUGGACACAAACUUUGGCAGAAGACCCUGCAUUGCCGAGUGAGCCCUUGAAGCCCUUCUUAGUUAGCAAACCUUGUCCUGAAAAAAGAACCCCGAGGUGCAAUGUAAGGAUUUUAUGUGAGGGAAUUAAACGGGUGUCACAGGUGUUGUUAGUGACAGCAUGUAGAGCACUAGUGCCUCCGUUAUGCUAACAGAAUAAGUAUCUAAAUAUUUGAAGAGAAAAUAAGGAUAUAAAUGAAGAUUAAAUGAAUACAAACAAUGGGAGAUUAUAGUUAACUAAAAGGAAUUGUAUCAAAUGUGCACAAUCAUAUAAUCUUAGAUUCUAGCAAGAACUGGGUGCAAAACCUAAGGCAACGGAAUUUCCUAAUAAGAACUGAACACUGAUAACAGAAAAUUCUCAGACCGCCCGCGACAGAAUUAACCAAAGCAUCACGGCAGAGGAGAGUAAUCCGGAAAAGGAUAAGAGGGGGGGUGGGGGGUUGAUUACCAUAUCCAAAGAUAGAUCCGACGAAGGCGCCGCCGGCGAAGUCCCCGGCGGACCUGAGGACGCAUACGGCUGGACCGGCGGCAAGAGGCGGGAGGGAUAGGGAGGAGCCCCCCUCGGCGGGGUUGGUCCCCACGUCGCCGUCCGACUCGUUGUCGUUCCUCGCCGCCAUGUCCGUCCUCCCUGCAAGUUCCGUUAUCGUUUGCCCAGGCCCAGGGUUGGAGACUUGGAGUAUAGAGGACGGGACUCCAGCCUCUGGUAGGCGGGUCCCGCUGCCAGUUCCCCCGGGUUGGGUAGCCCGGCCGGCCGGCCGGCUUUACAAGCCCAAUCGAACAAACCAUAUUAAACAAAGCCCAAUCAAACAAACCAUAUUAAAUAAGCCCAAUCGUAGCGGACGACAGACAAAUCGUCCGUUGCAGAGGUGCCCUCUAAUCAGUUUUUCCUUUUUUCUCAAAAAAAAUAUAAAUAAGUUUUUCCUUUUGCCUAAAAAAUACUAUAAAUUAGUUUUACUGACUUGUUUCUAGGGGAAAUUUUGCGACUCCUUUUAAGUAUUUUAUUCUUAAACUUUGGAACUUGUUUACCACAUUCGCACGCAGAAUUUAUUUAUAGUACAUUUAAUCAUGUACGUUCAAGUUCGUCAAAAAAAAAAGAUCAUGUACGUUCAACAAAAGAAAUUCACCCAUGUGGCAAUCUGAACUCUGAAGACGCAUGAGGCGAGCACUGUGAACUGCCUCAGAACAAUGUGUACCGUCUCAUUAACGAUUCAUAUACCCGUCUACAGUUCCUGAUUACUGUAACUUGUUCCAUAUGCUGCCAUGGUAAAUUGUUCUGAACUUGCAACAUUUCACCUCAAAACAUCAGGCGCCACCUCAACUGCUCAGGAACCCAACACAGGGUUCUUCCUAUUAUUGCUAUAUACUCCCUCCGUUCCAAAAUAAGUGUCGCUGCUUUACUAUAAAAUUUGUACUAACUUAAUACUAAAUUUGCGUCACUUAUUUUGGGACAGAGGGAGUAUAUCUUUAUACGCAAUUGCCUGAAGCAAUUGUAGCCAGAUGAAGGCAGUACUCAUCAGCAUGAGUGUGCCGAUACCGCACACAAUUAGCCUGUAUCAGUUUGGUACUUUGGUGAAGACCAGCCACUGAUGCAUGUCCACUGCAGCACAACUUGGGACACAUAAUCAGAUGUCACCAGCUUCCUAUGGUCAGAGGAGAGCUCAACGGGAGUUCAGCUGCAGGCGCCUCCAAUGUCACCUGAGAGAUAGGGAUAAUGAGCUCUAGCAAGGAAAGAUGGAGCAGUAUGCUAAAAGAUGGUAUUUGCAGAAGUGGGAGUGUCAAAAAUUAGUACCUCCUUAAAAACUGCACUGUGGGAAGCAUCCUUGAAGCCCUGAGUUCAGACCACAGAACAUACAAUUAUGAUCCAGCAAUCAGAAACAAACGAGGAGAAGGGGGGCAAGAACGGCGGGUUCAUCUGCUCACCAAUUUUCUGAAGAGCUUUAACGAUGCAGUAUUUGAGUCACUAAUUUUUGCUCUGAAAGUGUGAAUUCCGUAUUUCUCUACUGCAAACGACAUCAUCAUUAAGGUCACUUCUUGACCUAGUCCCUUUCCACGGCUGCAACACGAAGCAAUGGAAGUAUGGAACCAUGAGUAACAUAACUGAACACCAUCAGUCUAUCACAAUCUCAUUUCAAAACAAUCUGCUAAACUCUAUAUUAUGAAUGAGUACUGCAUCAAGUAAUAACAGUAGAUGUAAAGCAACUACGAAUUACGUUGUGUUUGUUAACAAUUUAAUCACUUUAUAACACUGAGAUCAUGUCAAGGGCUUUCACAGGAGCAUAAGCGUUUGGGGCUUUGGGCAAUACAGAGGUUAAAGAUUUGCAACACUAAGUUUAUAUUAUCUCUCUGUUGCAGGUACACAAAACGGGCUGCGAGAAAACAUAAUUCUAGCGGAUUAUUAAAUAGUAGCAUAUUGGUGAAAUUUCCUACGAGUGCAGUUGGUGAAAAAGUAUCAGUGUAUCACACUACUGAUAAUUCAAAGGAUAAUAAGUUGAGUAGUUGCAAUUGUAACCAGUUUUUAAGCUAAAACAGAUACUCAUGACAUACACAAUUCAAUGUGAAGCCCAAAUUGGACUAUCAAAGCAUGUUGGCUGUCAGAAUGGACAGAGUAUGCAUGUAAUUUCCCAUGAAUAAAAAAUAAUGAAAUAUAGAACAUAUAUCUAAGUUGAUGAGAAGAGGUACUAAACCAACACUUAAAAGAUGGUACCUCUUUUGUUCAGCUAUCAUAAUCUCUAUCUCCGCAAGUUCCAAAUCAUCAGGGUCAUUCAUAUAGAUGUUGACAUCGCCAAUCAUAGCUGCAACAGAUUAGGAAGAGCAUUAACACUAGCAGGACCUGGCAAACUGCUAAAUAUGAAAUCAACGCAAAUUUAACUAAUCACAUUCAUACAUAGAUGCUUUCAGUAGGGCACCACUGGAUUGUUUGAGGAGACCUUACUUGUGCUAAACCAACCUAUUGCUAGGAGAUUCUUGUACAUUGGUCGGAAGUCUGAAGUUAUGAACAUAUACUAGUAAUGAAGGCUGAAGGACAGGCAAGUGAGCUACAGAACCUAGAGGAGGAGAACAGUCCUUGUCUUAACUGUUGUAUGCAUACAACAAUGAUCUAGACUUAGAUCACUACAUCAACAUCAGGAUCCUCUAAACACUAUAGUAGAGAUGUGAAUUCAAAUUUUAACUUGAAGACUUCAUUUGCACCCUACAAAUACUGGUAGUGAAACGUCUGUAAAUUCAUUUGAGUAGCUUUCUGUGUCAACUAGAGAUAUGAAGUUCAUAUAUAACUAACUGACAUCAAAUAGUACACAGUUUGAUGAUCAUGAAGUCAAAUGCGUAUUGUUUUCUACCUGAAAAAUGUGUAUCAUCUUUCAUCUAUAUGUUCUAGUAACUCUGGCAUAUAAUUGAAGGACUGAACCGGCAUUCCUCCUCCCCUUAUCCAUUUUCCACCCAGAAGAUCUGGGUGCUCUCCACCCCCGCUUGACAGCUGAGGCCUCCUCCUCCCAACACCGUUGCAUAAGUCUAACAUGCUACUGUUAGCCCAUUAGAUUGCUCCAAUAUUUAAUUCCCAAACCGUUCCUCCUUUGAGGAACCUCAUUGCGUAAUGGUCUACACAUUCCAUCUCAUCUGACCACAGAGAAGAAUCAAAGGUACAGAAAUGGCAUGGUUUUGUUUUGGUAUUCUAAAUAUUCGAGUCUCAGUCAAUCUACGCUUACACCAGAGCCACAAUAUCCUCCUCACAACAUGUAUGCAAAACUGCAACCAGAAUCGUACCAGAUUCAUGUAACCUCUGAUUCCCAAUUCCUAUCAUGGACUGAGCUAAUCAAGUUAAAACAUUACUGAGCAACGUGCAGAAGAGAGUAGCAAACCUUCGGUGUGUGGGUUCCCGACCACGAAGUCUCCCUCGAUCAACUCCUUAUCCAGCACUAUGAAAGUGUGUUCUGCACACACACACACACACACACACACACACACACAAACAAGCAUCUCACUGAAUCAGUCGCAGCGCGUCAGCUCACCACCAAAUCUGGGGCAAACUAGAGGAAGGAGAUCGGGGAAGCAGCGAGGGGGAAGGAGCUCAACUGAGAGGGUCGAGGGUCCAGGAGCGAUGGACCUCGAACUCCUGGGCGAGGGAGAGCGGCUCCGACGCGGUGGCCUCCAGCAGCGCCGGGUCCUGCAUCCACUCGUGGUACCGCGGGACGUGCUCACGCAGGUACGGCACCAGCACCGCGCGCUCCCCCACCGCGUACCAGCUUCCCUUCCGCCCCCUCCCGUCGUCAUCUCCGCCCUCGGCCGCAGCCGCCGCGGCCACCGCCGGCUCGGCGGGCGCCUCCAUUGCAGCCGCAGGCAGGGUUUCAGCUUCGGCCCACGGUCCACGGAACAGUGGGCCGCCGCGUCAACUUUCUUACACAUUAAUGACCGAUUUAUCUGCCUCUAAAAAAAUGACCGAUUUAUCAGCAAGUACGCCACCGUCAAAGGAAAACGUACUAGUACAGUAUUUCGUAAGCUCUCUACGAUGGUGCUACACUAGAGCAGCGAAACAAUUACAAGGCGGAAUUCUGAAGCAGUGGAAUCUUCACAGCUUCACGCAGACUGCUAAACGAAGGGAACGGUAAACCCCAUUGUUAGCUGCUCAUGGAGGAAGGGUGAUCGGGUGAAAGAAAUGAUGGAAAGAUAGAUUGGCCUCGCGAAAACUUGGACUCGGAGGGGUAUAAAUAUAGCCAUCACUGCUGGUCUAUCUCUAACCUUUUUAGCAUAUAACGUGAAAGAAGAAGGACGCAUACAUAUAGCUUUUCAUCAGCCAAAAAAGACUGUCAAUGUGCAUUGACAUGUCCAGAGCUACUUUACCGCUGCUACAAAAUACAUUGGGAUGCUGGAGGGAACUGAUAUUCGGAAGCCCCAUAGUCCCGCCUUUGGUAAUUACGAGGCAUCGAGUAAAAUGACGAUGAGGAAGUAGAAGGUGUCGUUUGACUUUGUUAAGGACGAUAUGUCUGAGCAGGUAGAGCACUUAGGCUGUUCUACAGAAACAUUCUCUUGUUUUUGUUUGUCAGAACUUUAUAAGAUAUUCAUUUGUAUUAAACAUACUCGGAUGGUGUCCUAUAGAAGAGUGGAGGACAUUUCGCAAAGCUUGUGCCGACAACCAAUGAUGUAGUUUUUGCUGGUUCUUUGUGUUCUCUUGAAAAAUAAAAUGUGCUUAGUUUAUUUAUUUUUCAUACUUCCUCCACAAAUAGGAAUUUAGAAGAUCCAUUUUGUUUCCUACAACUUACUUUAAAACAUGCACACAAUGGAAUUAAGAAUCCAUUGCUCUCUUCAGAUAAGAUAUCGCUCUAUGUAUGAAAGCAAUGACCGUUAUACCAAUUACAAACUUAAAUGGUGUAUGGAAAACAAAUAAUAAUAAAAUGUUGUCUUCUUUUCAUAAAGGGGUGAUCUCUUUAUGACUAACAGAUGCCUGAUUUUCUCUUCUUCAAAAGGUCUUAUUUUGUGGCAAUUCUGAUUCAAAUUAAAUUACCACAUAUUUUUACAUCGAAGUAUGCAUUAAAUUACCCCAUGUAUGUGCUAGUAAUGCUAGUUAGUAAAGCCAUUUUUGUGUUGGAUUGGAAUCAUAGUAAUCAGCGAAACCCCAUGUCACCUAGAAAAAUCACCAUCAAAACAUUCAAAUGCAAUAUUUUUCUGGAUGUGGAAAAUUCAUACAAACAUGAUGCUCUCUCUGUUUCGCUUGCACGCAUAAGUACUGAAUUUUCGGUGCAAUGCAUUACCCCCUUGUGUUUUGGAGAUUGCUGUCAGAAACAGUCAUGGACUGAUUUGCUUGCUAGUGCACACAGAGAGAAUUAGUCCAUGAAAAUCCGAGAAGAAUGAUAUAUUCUGUCUAGAAGUUCGAAGAACUUCAUCGAAGAUUAUCUAUGUUGUGGAGAAGAAGAAAGUAUAUCUCAAGAAAAGAUGACACUGAGAAGAAUAUGUGAAUAGAUUGAUCCCAUAAAAUGUUGCUGACGCAAAGCAAUUUUCAUUCGUGUGUCCCAAGUAGAAUGACUUUAGCUGAGAAAUGUGACGAUGAAGUGAAGAUGUAGCAUUUGUUUUGUUGUUCUUAUUUGUCUUAUUUAAGUCAUAGUACCACCUACUAUUAAGAGGGGUAUAGGUCAUCGAAGCUUAGGUACAUUGUGUUGCUUAGUCGAAACCUAUGAAGGACUGAGAGAAAUCUCUUUGUGCUCUGAAUGGUUACUUGACAGCAAGAGACAAAGUUCUUUUGAGAUAUCCUUAGAACCGAGGAUUUGGCUUUACUUGCUCCGCAAGGAAACACUACAUCGGGAAGGUCCUAAGAUGACACGUGUCUCGCAGACCAUUCGGCCAAACUGUAUGCGAUGAUAAAUCACAAACGCUAAUAAAAUAAAGUCGCGUGCAAGAAAAUGAAAUGUGUGACAUACCAUCCAUUAGGCGUGAUAAUGGUAUGCACACCAUGUGUGAUAGUGGGCACACACUUAGAGGCAAAAUUAUGUGUGAUAUAUGUAGUCGUAACGCGCACGGUUGCAAUGUUCUAAGUGACUGUGUUUGUUGGAAAACACUUUAUAGAAACAAAUUGUUUGCGAUAGUUAGGACCAUCUCACAUGUUGCGUAGUGUGAGUACUCAUGUAUUAUGAUUUAAAAGUUACUAGUACCGAGAAACUGGAGAUGGACUUGUUAGUUUUGUUGAUUCUGAUUUUGCUGGUGAUUUGGAUAAGAGAAGAUCACUCACAUGUUAUGUUUUCAUCAUUGGUGGUUGUGAUGUGAGUUGGAGAGCAACUUUGCAGUCUAUUGUGGCUUGUUCCACUACUAAUGCCGAAUAUAUGGCUAUUUCUGAGGCAUGCAAAGAAGCUAUCUGGUUGAAAGGUUUAUACACUGAGCUUUGCGGAGAUUCAUCUUGCCCUACCAUAUUUUCUGACAGUUAAAGUGCUAUAUAUCUUACAAAGAAUCCAAUGUAUCAUGAGAGAACGAAGCACAUUGAUGUCAGAUUUCACUAUGUUCGAGAUGUUGUUGCUAAAGGUGAUUUGAAGGUAUUAAAGAUAAGUAUUCAUAAGAAUCCAGCUGAUAUGAUGAAAAAGUCAGUUCCUACCAAUAAGUUUGAGCUUUGCUCAAGCUUAAUUGGUAUUUCGCACUAGUCCUUUGGACUUUGACGCACAAGGUGUUUAUGCUGAUUUGGAUGGAGUUAUUCACUUUCUUCGACUACUGGAAGGAAUCUGGCUCAAGGUGGAGAUUGUUAAUUUGUGAUCUAAAUUCUACUGUAUUGGACUAGACGUAGUACAAAUGGUGUGGGCUUUUGCGUUGGUACCGACAUGUACGAGUACAACUCGUUUACUUGUCCUCCAAGGACUCUCAUGUAUUGCCCCUCAUAUAUACUUCAUGUAGUCGCACCUAAAGACGACCUGUCGUCUCGUGCUUGUAAUACUCCAUCCUUAUAGUGAUUGCGCCUUCGUGCGUCCGUGGUUUUCUUCCGCAAGGGUUUGCACGUAAAAAUUUGUUUGAUCUGUGGUCCACGGAGCAGUGGGACAUGGCCUCAACUGAUUUACCCUGCCUAAGUCAUUCACUCGUCACUUGGUAUGCCACUUGGUAUGCCAGUUCAAACUGGAGAAGGAUUUUGCAAUUAUCAAAACACGCUACCAAUAUGCCGCUUUUGCGGAUAAGGAAAAAACAUCACUUGACGGCGAAAUUCUAAGGCAGUGCAAAUUUCAUGCAAACAUGGUGCUCUAUCUGUGUUGGUUGCCUGGAUAGCUAUAGCAUGACUACACACAUUGUUGGUUGCUCAUGCGUAUUGGCAUGGGAAGGUGAAAGAAUUGGAUAGAUUGGUCUAUAAAGUGAGCCAUCUUUUAGCCAGUUUAGCGUAGUUAGCAGCAGCAGGAAACUAUCACUGUGUUAAUAUAGGUUCAGAAGAGAUUGAUGGGAACAAAAUGUAUUGUGAUGUUGGAGGAAACUGAUAUCGUAGUGUGUACGUUCAGGACUGGUUUCAGAAUUUGUGCUGACUUGACGACUGUGGGAUGGAGAGUAAGAAGCCAAAGUGAGGAAUGCAAGAAAAUUAUCAGAAUAAUUGCUUACCUGUGAAUAUGCAUCUGAUUGCGUUUAUAUAAAAUAAUAUUUGUCUUAUGUAUUGUAACAUCUUGAUUUCAGCAAGAUAUUAGGAAAACUGUAUGGCUUCAUGUUUGAAACCAUCAAAACAUUCCCUGCUUCCUUCAAAUGAGUUUUUGUGUGCAAAAUAUAUAUGAUACUAUAUAUCAGUUACCACUGUUUAUUUUGAGAAAAAGAUUGAAGGGGGUCCCUAUAGGGUAAUAAUUAGAAGCCAAAAUCCGAGUCCACUAAACUUGAAUUUACAUGGUGAAAUUGCACAAUCACUGAUUAGGAUCAACAACAGCAACAAACAAUUCUAACAGUCCAUUAACAGCAAGACCCAACUACAGAUGAUAACAAUGAUCCAGGUGCCAUGAGCCCUCCCUGAACGCAUGCUAUUCACACGCUGGCACUCCACUAAUCCUCCUUACAGAUUUUAAGCAUAUGAUAAACUCCCUUGCUUUCGCCCAUGCUACUUUUCUCCGAUCAUGCGCUUUGCCAACAAGAAUCACACAACUCUCGUCGGUCGGAGCCGUGCCUUCAAAGCCAAUAAUGGCAAGCUUAGCCAGGACCAUCAUCAUCAUAAUCAUCAUGAUCCUAACCGCUAAAGCUCACGCGAAACAUUUCCCAGCCGAUCGAAUCCAUGGUAGUAUCACAUCACCACGCCGGUCGUGGGCGAGCGGCCACCAAAUCUUCCACUUAGCAUCAAUCAGUCUGCUCACUGCUGUGUGAGAUCACCUAACCUAGUAAAUGUAGCAUUAAUAGGCUGGUAAAUUGCAAUUGAUAUACUAUAGCCCAUAAGCAAAAUGUAAAAUUCUUAUAACUUACUAGUCUUUUGGCAAACUUAUGGAUGCGAAUUUGGAACUUUUAGGGUAUCCUCCGACCCUUCUUCUGUUGUAUCGUUUCAAUUUUAUCCGAGGGGAUCCUCCGACCCUUCUUAGUUCAACUAAAUAAACUAAAUUUCGCCUGCCUAGGCAAACUCUUACUGUGAUUUAGCAGUUCGUCAGCUUUGAUCCAUGUGCUCCUUUCACAUUCUUCUUCAGUUGAGCUGGCCCAUCCACAGUAUGCAAGCAUGUGUGUCUGAAACUUCCAUUGUGCAGCUCAAAUUUUGGUUAACUACUACAGUCGCAGCAUGCCUUUUGCACCUACCACCACCACCGAUCUAACCCAGGAGGCAAGUGCAAGAUGGGGCCAAAGUUGGGCACCACACAGAUCACCACAGAAUAUUUUCAGGCCUGUUUGUGGAGGCUCUCCCUCCCUUGCCUUCGAAGCCAAGAACCCAUCAUCGAAACGGAACGAAAUACACACAACCAACCAAACGGGAGCAGCACACGCGGUUCACAGCCAUCAUCACAUUUCACAAUCACCCUCCAAAACGCCCCACUAAAACCCCACUUACGAGCGCAGACAAAACCCAACCCAACGCACGCCACGCACACUCACACUCACACACGCCACCGCGCUCUGUUAGCUCGACACCGCUGCCCAGCUCCACGGGGGCACGAUCGAUCAACAACGACAAUGAGGAGAUUCGAUGCGCUGCUGAUGCUCGUUGUGGUCGUCGUCCUUCCGAGCGGCGGGGCGGCGGCGGCGGGGGCGCCGGGGCGGUGCACGACGUCGACGCCGGUGAAGGCGUACGCCAAGUGCAUCGCGCUGCCGACGCAGGGCGCGACGCUGGCGUGGACGUACGACGCGCGCAACGCCACGCUGGACGCGGCCUUCACGGGGUCCUUCAUCUCGCCGUCGGGCUGGGUGGCGUGGGGCGUCAACCAGGACGCGCCGGCCAUGGCCGGGGCGCGCGUGAUCGCCGCCUUCUCCGACCCGUCCACGGGCGCGCUGCUCGCGCUCCCGUUCGUGCUCUCCGCCGACGUCAAGCUCCAGGCCAAGCCCCUGGUGUCCCGCCCGCUCGACAUCCCGCUGCUGGCCUCCUCGGCGUCCCUCGUCGCGCCGGCCCGCACCGUCCGCGACGGCGCGACCGUGACCAUCGCCGCCACCAUCCGGCUCGCCCCGAACCGCACCAGGGUCCACUUCGUGUGGAACCGGGGCCUGUACGUGCAGGGCUACUCCCCGACCAUCCACCCCACGGACGCCUCCGACCUGGCGUCGCACGCCACCGUCGACAUCCUCACCACGGCGACGGAGUCGUCCCCCAUCGCGUCCCCCAGGCUGCAGUGGGCGCACGGCUCCCUGAACGCGCUCUCCUGGGGCCUCCUGCUGCCGGUGGGCGCGGCGCUGGCGCGGUACCUCCGGCCCUGCGCGUCGGCGGGGCCGGCGUGGUUCUACGGGCACGCGGCGGUGCAGGCGACGGGGUACGCGCUGGGGGCGGCCGGGUUCGCGCUGGGGAUCGCGAUGGGGGCGGCGUCGCCCGGGGUGACGUACAAGCUGCACCGCGGGCUGGGCAUCGCGGCGGCGACGGCGGGGAGCCUGCAGACGCUGGCGGUGUUCUUCCGGCCCAAGACGACGAACCGGUACCGCAAGUACUGGAAGUCGUACCACCACCUGGUGGGGUACGGGUGCGUGGUGAUCGGGGUGGUGAACGUGUUCCAGGGCUUCGAGGUCAUGGGGCUCGGCGCGUCCUACUGGAAGCUCGGCUACUGCAUGGCGCUGGCGACGCUCGUCGGCGGCUGCGUGGCGCUGGAGGUGAACGCAUGGGUGGUGUUCUGCCGGAGGCAGCACGAGGAGAAGCUCAUGCGGCGGGAGGUGGAGGACGUCGUCGUCAAGGACAGGGCCGCCGCCUUCUAGGUUCUAGCUAGCGCGCCGCGCCAUGAUCGGCGCCGUUGCUUCCCUCUGUUUUACACCGGCACGCAGGGCUUUUUUUUGAGAGAGCGAAGAUACAUUGAGAAUGCAGACACGGCCACGAAGUAAUUGAAUGGGUGCGGUCACGCGCCACGUUACCGGGGACAGGCAGUGCUUAUUGGUUUGUCGGAAGGUGGGCGUGUGAAUUCCUUCCCGGGCUGGUGUGUGCCGUUGUACUCCACUGUUUUUCUUCUCCUAGUUCUUGAUCUAUAGUUCUACUAUACGAUAGUACAUAGAGGAAUUCAUGUACAAGUUGUUCCACUUUUUCAGUUUCUCAGUAUAACUUUGCACCUAGCCGAUUCUUGGUAAAGAAACCACGUCAUGAAUUGUGAAAAAAGGUCUGCUUUUUUUACGAAAGAGGCACCACAUCUCUUUUUUUUUUUGGCAGAGCUCUGCGCCGGUGCGCCUGCCGAAACUUUUGGCCGGCUGCGCGCGGGUCAUACGAUCCAUCAACCCCCGCGCGUCUGCAUCCUUGGAUCUGCAUGCAACAUCUUUUUCCCCGAUGCAGCAAAAAUCUGACACGACGCAGCAAUUUUUUCAACGCUUGCAACAAAAAACAAAAAAUAUAGUAAAAAAAUAUCUACGUGAUCGUAGCAAAAAAACGAAGCUGAUGUUGCGUGGUAGCAAAAGUCAAACGCCGUUUGUAACAAAUAUCUACGUAAACGUGUAUGCAACUUUUUAGUGAACGGUUGCAGCAAAAAAUAAUGCAGGUUGUAGCAAAAAUUAACACGGUUGUAGCAAAAGUAAAAAACAUCGAUUGUAACGAAAAAUCCGACGAACUGGAGUUGCAACCAAACGUAUAUGCAUCUUUUUUACUGAACAUAUGUAGAAAAUAAAAACGUUUGUAGCAAAUAUGACGCUGGUUGCAAUAUUUUAGACAGAAAAAUGUUGCAUGCCCAGUCAGCGCUCAGCGCGCGAGCCGCGUGCGGCCGGCCGAACGGUUCGACCGGCGCACCGGCCAGAAACGAUUCCCUUUUUUUAAGGAUAACCUCCGGCCUCUGCAUGAGAGCAAUGUAUGUGGUCCCUUAAAUAAGAAUGCAAACACAAAGUCUGAAGUUCCGAAUAAUCUCUAACGAGUAAACAUAAACCAAAUAAUAAAAGUAAAGGAUGCCACAACCGGGAAAAAUAGGCCAAGUUGCCUAGCCAUCUAUCCUAUUACUGGACCGUCAUGGAGACCGGUUAUAGAUAUCCCGUGCUACUGUCUCCCAUCGGAUAGACCCAGUAACCAAAGGCUUCUUGAUUUCCGCAUGAGUGAGUAAGGACCACAUACGGAUGAAUGCCGACGCCCUGUGAAGUACCUGCAAAAAAUUUAUAUGUGUUUGUCUGUUUAAAGACCAAGUCAUUCCUUCAAUUCCAUAUCGCCCAAAGAAGUGUGCAAACUCCUAUGUGAAUAUGUCUAGCCAUAAUCAAGUCCACUCCAUUGAGCCACGCACCAAACAACGUGUCAAUGCUAUCAGGCGGUAUGAUAUUACAUGCUAUGAGGAUUGUCUGCCAUAAGAUUUUCGCUAAUGGGCAAUGGAGAAAAAGGUGUUUGAUUGUCUCCUCAUCAUCACAAAAGCUACAACGAGUACUCCCCUCCCAAUUGCGUCGUGUCAAAUUAUCCUUAGUGAGAAUCACCUUCUUGUGAACAAACCACAUGAAUACUUUGAUUCUUAAAGAAACCUUGAUCUUCCAAAUAUGAAUCGACUUGGGGACUACUGUUGUGUCAAUAAGGUUCACAUGCAUGGAUUUCAUAGAAAAGAUGCCCUUAUUUGUUAGCUUUCACUGAAGCUUGUCAGACUCAUCCGAUAGGUGAACAUCCAUUUGUCUUCUCACUAAGUGGAUCCACUCAUCCCAUCGAUGUCCUAUCAAAUCACGUCUGAAUUGAAUAUUUAGAGAAUUUGAUUGAAAUACUAUGGCAACGUACGCAUCCUUACGUUGCACAAUAUUGUAGAGAGACGGAUAUUGUUUGGCUAGAGGCGUCUCCCCCCCAACAAAGUAUCUUUCCAGAAUCUCGUAGACCGACCAUCUCCAAUGAUAAAUUUAGUUCUAUGGAAAAAUGAUGCUUUCACUUUCAUCAAACCUUUCUAGAAUGAUGAAUCAUUGGGUCUUGGUGUGAGCUGGGUCAAGCUUUUAGAAUGCAAGUACUUAUUACGCAAAAUUUGUAUCCACCUACCUUCAGUCUCUACAGAUAGUCUCAAUAGCCACUUACUAAGCAGGCAUUUGUCCUUAACCUCUAAAUUUUCAAUUCCAAGACCUCCCUCGUCCUUGGGUCUACAUAUAAUGUCCGAUCUAGUAAGUCUGUACUUCUUAUUUAUUUCAUCAUUUUGCCAAAAGAAACGAGAUCGAUAAAAGUCCAAUCUUUUGCGUACUCCUACAGGUACCUCAAAGAAGGAGAGAAGGAACAUAGGCAUACUUGUCAUGACCGAGUUAAUCAAAAUCAGCCUACCGCCAUAAGGCUAAAGCUUGACCUUCGAGCAGCUUAGCUUUUUCUCAAAAUGAUCCUCAAUACACUUCCACUCUUUGUUUGAAAGUUUACGAUGGUGAAUGGGUAUGCCUAAAUAACUGAACGUAAGCUCCCGAACUCAUAUCUGAAGAGUUGUUUAUAAUCAUCUUGUUCAUCUUUGGCUCUUCCAAAACAGAAAAAUUCGAUCUUGUGGAAAUUAAUUUUAACCCCGGCAACUGUUUGAAAAGGCAAAGGAUAAGUUUCAUGUUUCUUGCUUUUGCUAUAUCGUGCUCCAUAAACAAUAUAGUAUCAUCAGCAUAUUGUAGAAUAGACACCCACCAUAAACUAGAUGUGGUACCAGUCCACCUACCUGACCUUCCUCUUUAGCCCUUCCUAUUAGAAUUGCUAACAUGUCCGCAUUUACAUUAAAUAGGAUGGGUGACAUAGGGUCUCCCUGCCGGAGCCCUUUGUGCGUUUGGAAAAAAUGACCAAUGUCAUCAUUGAUUUUAAUUCCAACGCUCCCUUUUUGUACAAAUGAUUUGACAUUCCCUCUCCAUAUGUCAUCGAAUCCCUUCAUACGCGAAGCUUGUUGUAGGAAAGACCAUUUAACCUUGUCGUAUGCCUUCUCGAAAUCCACCCUGAAGAUAAACCCGUCUAGUUUACUCGAGUGGAUUUCAUGUAGGGUUUCGUGAAGGACAAGCACACCCUCAAGUAUGUUUCUCCCCGACAUGAAGGCUCUUUGACUAGGUUGCACGACAACAUGUGCAUUCUGUGUCAAUCUAUUAGUUCCAACCUUUGUGAACAUUUUGAAGCUCACAUUAAGAAGGCAAAUUUAUCUGAAGUUUUCAAUGUGUACUGCCCCUCCUUCUUUGACAACAACAUAACUGUCCCAAAGUUAAGGUGGAAAAGUUGCAGAUUGUCAUUAAACAAAUCCUGAAACAUCGCUAGUAAAUCACCUUUAAUAAUGUGCCAACAUUUAUUAUAAAACUUGACCGGGAACCCAUCCGGUCCUGGCGCCUUAUUAUUUUUCAUUUGUGAAAUUGCCUCAAACACCUCUUUCUUCAUAAAGGGUGCGGUUAAUAUCUCAAUCUCGUUUGUCCUGAGGAAUAUCACCCACCCACUGCUCAUUCAUGGACAACGUAUUGUCCUCAGGAGGUCCAAAUAGUUGCUUAUAAUACUCAGAUAUGUACACCUUUAGGUUUUCAUGCCCAACAACUGUACCAUCAUCUUGUUCAAGUUGAUAUAUUAUUUUCUUUGUGUUUUCCAUUGGCAAUAAGAUGGAAAAAUUAUGUGUUGUCAUCCCCUUGAAUGACGUGAUGCACUUUCACUCUAACUGCCCACUUCAGUUCUUCUUCUGUGAGGAUCUGUUUCAGAUUUUGCUCUGCCUCCGCUCUUAAUGCCCUCUCAUUAUCUUCCAAGAGGGCGGAUUCGGCUUUUAAAUCAAGCUCAUUUAUAAAUUGAGAUGACAACCAGUGAUACAAAGCUCCCCAAUAAAAAAUUGCAAUUGGGUACUUGGAUAAUCGACCCAACGCCCCCAUAGAAAGGGAGAUGAAGCAGGAUGAAGUACCACCAGAAAGGAGAUGAAGUGUCCCUCGCUGACGAUCAAGAAGGAGGAAAAUCUGAUGCCCUCCAUAAGAGACCAACGCAGCGGCGGCGACCCAACACACAAAUACAAGCUUUGUGACUCCACACCGACUUUGGAUCAUGCAUCGACACAACAACGAACCAGAGCAAAAUAUCCCUUUCAAGGUUUAAGUCGCCGCUACACCAGCCUUGAUCCAUUCCCAAGGGACAGCAGGAACACAUCUCCUUCACACAUUAACAGAUAUGUGUCAGGGUUGGUUGUUCUAGGAUUUUAAAUUUCCAUCAAAAUGACCCUUGUGCAUACGAGCCCCAGGAAUACUGUUAGGUAGUGCACAAUUCCUUCAUACAAAUAUCCAAGCAAUUACAUAAUUUUGGAGUACAAGACCAUCAUGGCCUAUGGAGUACAACAAAAUUGUGGGUGGUCGGGAUGCUGCCGACCUUUUUAGUGAGAAAACAUGGCAGAAUUAUCGCGUGUAGUGAUGAGGACAUCGAUACCAUAGUUACACCCACGACCCCUGUUACUACAUAUAUUGGGCCAAUUACUAGAGCUCGUGCACGCCAAUUAAAUGCUCAGGUGCAUCCAUUUCUUGGGAAUGAUUCUAAUGUUCAUGAGAAUAUUAUGCUGCCUAAACUAGAUACAUUUAUGUUUAUUACUAAUGAAGGGACUAGGAUGGACAAGAGGGGUGAACACUGGAGCAGGAUCAAGCAUGAAGAUGAAGGCGUGCACAAAGGAAACUAGAACCUCGUUUCUAGUGGAGUUUUCAGCAUUUUGAAGCCACAUGAUGACAUGCAAGGACAUGGUCGAAAUAUACAAGAUGAUCUUCCAUGAAUUUUCUCCAAAGUUUAUUAUAGGUUCCGCGUCACCUUAUUUUGGGGUUAGGUCCAUGUAAUUUCGAAAUACAAUUUAGUAGGAUCGUUUUAGAGUUUGUAUUAUAAGGGAAACAACUUAUGAGGUGUUUUCACUCCCAUCUUGUUAAGGUUGGACGAAAUCCCCUCCUUUCCCCCUAUAAAUACAACACUUAAGGCAUUGUUUAAACUUGGGCUUUGUUUAGAUUAAAGUUUGCUGCAGCUGCAACCCAUUCUGCAACUAGACCAAGAUGUCACAUAACCCCACUUUUAUCAAUAAAUCUUUCUUCUUAUAUUCGUAAUAUUCAAAUUGUAAUUUCAGUUUCUUACUUGUUCUUCAUUUGCAUGCAGGGAACAGAUCCUCGUGAUCAGGUUGAUCAUGCUCCGACAUGAUCAAUAACCUCUCAGAGUUGGUUUAGCAAUUGCUAAGGCGAAACCUCUUUGCACUGUCGUAGUCGGAUCAUCAAAAUCUAUUACACCGAAAAGGAUAGUUACCAUCUCAUCAAAAGAUGGUCCACCUUCACCUCUAUCAGGUAGUUGGCAUGCAACGAUCGUCAUUAAUUAGCUAAAUUCCCGAUGGGAUGGAAAUUCGAUCGUGUGUAUCCUUAACAGAGGGGGAAGGUGGGCCGCACAGGAGGACGAGGAGGGGCUAAAAUUUUCCUCCUCCGCAAACGGUUAGCAUGGAAAACCCUAUUCGGCGCUCCACGCGCCGGUUUAAGGGCAAUUUUCCUAACCGGUGCGUGCACCGUGUUAGCAGGCCUGGCCCAUUUACCUGUUUUUUCUUCCUCGUGUGAAAGGUAAAAAAGGAAGGCGACGGGGAGUUCGAACUCAGAAUCUGUUGGUUUACGUACUAGCGCACUCACCACUAUGGCAAAUACACCGAUGUGAAAAGUCAUAUUUUUCCCUUUUUUAUUUUCUCGAGUUCGCAAGAAGCCCCGAUUUUGGGAUGCUUGUAGAACUUUCUAAACCGGUUUUAUGUGGUUCGUUGGGUAAUUUUCCAUCUGGUUCUUAUUCGUUUUUUCUCUCUAUUUUAACGUUUCUUUUUCAAAAAUGAUGAAUUUUUUAAAAUUUUGAUGAACUAUUUAUAAAAAACUAUGAACUUUUUUACAAAUUUGGUGAACUUUUUUUAAGAUCGUUGAACUUUUUUUAAGAUCAAGGAACUUUUUCAGACAUGAUGAACUUUUUCGGAAUUGAUGAGAUUUUUUUCAAAUUCGAAUGGACUUUUUUAAAAUUCAUGAUUUUUUUCAUUUUUUGGAAAUCGAUGAACUUUUUUCAUUUUUUAAAUUGUACCUUUUUCCUUUUUAAGUGCAUAAUUGAAAGGAGGGAGCAGAAAAAACCAAACGGAUUUUAGCGAACGAAUAGUGACGAAUAGAGAACGAGCGAAGGAUUAGUGGGUGAGGCCUAAUAGGGAUCCCUAGUGUGCGGCAACUAAGUUAUUGGGCGCUGAAGGCCGGCAUUUCGUAUUUGACUCUAAAAACGUUAGUUAAUGUGCAUUUUUGUUAACUGAUGCCCGUGUCGUUCAAACUGGGCCAACCCAUCUAGGCGCUUAUGAUGUUUUUGUUUUUUUGAAAAUUCUAUGAACUUAUUUGAAUAUCGAUGAACUUUUUUUCAAUUUCAAAGAAUAAUUUUCACAAUAAAUGAACUUUUUUAAAUAAGGAUAAUUUUUUUUGAAAUUUUAUGAACAUCUUUUUGAAAAUGGAUGGACUUUUUUAAGAUUUAUGAACUUUUUUUUAGUUCAAUGAACUUUUGUAAAGAAUACAUGAACUUUUUUUGAACUUUUAUGCACUUUUUUUCAAAUUUAUUGAACUUUCUAAAAAAUUACUAAACUUUUUCUAAAUUGGAUGAAAAUUUUUCAUUUUAAAUGAACUUUUUUUCAAAUCCUGAACUUUUUCCAUAAUUGAUGAACCUUUUUUAAAGAUAUGAACUUUUAUCUUCAAAUGUGUAAACCUUUUUUAUUUUAUAUUUUUUCGUAAUAGAAAAUUAAAAAGGAAGAAACUGGACAACUUUUUAAUGGACCGACCCAUGCUUGCAGCGCUGCACGCGCCGGAUCGGUAACGGCUGCCUGUAGCGCUGCAUAGGAGCUUCCGUGGAGGCGUCGUAUAGGAGCUUGAUACGUCUCAAACGUAUCUAUAAUUUUUUAUGGUUUCAUGCUGUUAUCUUAUCAACUUUGGAUGUUUUAUGUACCUUUUAUAUCUUUUUGGGACUAACUUAUUAAUUCAGUGCCAAGUGUCAGUUCCUGUUUUUUUUUGUGUUUUUGACUCUUUUCAGAUCUGAUUUUGGAACGGAAUCCAAACGGAAUAAAAUCUCCGAGAUAAAUUUUUCAGAACAAAAGAAGAUCGGGGGACUUGAGGGCUGAUGACCCACAAGUAUAGGGGAUCAAUCGUAGUCCUUUUGAUAAGUAAGAGUGUCGAAUCCAACGAGGAGGAGAAGGCUGUGAUAAACGGUUUUCUGCAAGGUAAUAACUGCAAGCACUGAAAGUAGCGGUAACAAGUGAUGGUGUAGUGAGGUGAAACAUAACAAGCGAAAAGUAACAAGUAACAAGUAGUAGCAACGGUGAAGCAAGUGGCCCAAUCCCUUUUGUAGCAAGGGACAAGUCUGAAGAAAGUCUUAUAAGUGGAAAGCGCUCCCGAGGACACACAAGAAUUUCUGUCAUGCUAGUUUCAUCAUGUUCAUAUGAUUCGUGUUCGUUACUUUGAUAGUUUGAUAUGUGGGUGGACCGGCGCUUGGGUACUGCCCUUACUUGGACAAGCAUCCCACUUAUGAUUAACCCCUCUCGCAAGCAUCCGCAACUACGAAAGAAGAAUUAAGACAACGUCUAACCAUAGCAUUAAACUAGUGGAUCCAAAUCAACCCCUUACGAAGCAACGCAUAGACUCGGGCUUAAGCUUCUGUCACUCCAACAACCCAUCAUCUACUUACUACUCCCCAAUGCCUUCCUCUAGGCCCAAAUAUGGUGAAGUGUUAUGUAGUUGACGUUCACAUAACACCACUAGAGGAAAAACAACAUACAUCAUAUCAAAAUACCGAACGAAUACCAAACUCACAUGACUAUUAUUAGCAUGACUUAUCCCAUGUCCUCAGGAACAAAAGUGACUACUCAUAAAGCAUAAUCAUAAUCAUGAUCAGAGGUGUAAUGAAUAGCAUCAAGGAUCUGAACAUAAACUCUUCCACCAAGUAAUCCAACUAGCAUCAACUACAAAUAGUAAUCAACACCACUAGCAACCUUACAAGUACCAAUCGGAGUCAUGAGACGGAGAUUGGUUACAAGAGAUGAACUAGGGAUUGGAGAGGAGAUGGUGAUGAUGAAGAUGCCUCCCCUCCGACGAGAGGAGUGUUGAUGAUGACGAAGGCGACAAUUUCCCCCUCCGGAAGGGAAGUUUCCCCGGCAGGAUCGUCCUGCCAGAGCUCUAGAUUGCAUCUGCUCAAGUUCCGCCUCGUGGCGGCGGCGAAACCACGAAAAAGCUCCCGAAUGAUUUUUUCUGAAAUAAAUCCUUCAUAUAGCAAAAGAGGGGGGCCAGUGGGCCGCCAGGGUCCCCACAAGCCCUGUUGCCGCGACCAGGGGGGUAGGCUGUGGCAACUAGGCUUGUGGGCCCCUAGUUGCUCCCCUCUGACACUUCUUUCGCCUAGUAAUUUUUAUAAAAUCCAAAAAAAAUCCACGUUGAUUUUCAUGACAUUUGGAGUUGCGCGGAAUAGAGCACUCAGACUUGCUCCUUUUCCAGUCCAGAAUUCGAGCUGCCGGUAUUCUCCCUCUUCAAAUAAACCUUGCAAAAUAAGAGAGAAAAGGCAUAAGUAAGGUUCCACAAAGUAUAAUAACAGUCCAAAAAGCGAUAAAUAUCAACAUGAAAGCAUGAUGCAAAAUGGACGUAUUAACUCCCCCAAGCUUAGACCUCGCUUGUCCUCAAGCGAAAACCAAGACCCAAAACAUGUCCACGUGUUUAGGGAUGAAGGUGUUGAUAAAACAAAAUACGGACAUGAGGGCAUCAUGACCAUACAUAGAACAGGAACACAUCAUAGAGAUUCUUAUGGGAAAGUAACAAUUGCUUCACAAAGCAAAGUAUGAAACAAAAACCUUAUCGAGAAGUGGCCAACAACCGUCCAAAGUCAUUGAAGCAAUUGCAAUUUAUCACAUUAUCAGAAAGAGUCCAAUAAGAGCUUGUAAGGCAAAUCCACAUACUCAAUCAUCUCUUUUGUUUUCCAUCAUUGUUACUACUCACGUGGUACUCAUGGUAUUGAAGUUUCAGUUGGACACAGAGAAAGAUAGGGGCUUAUAGUUUGCCUCCCAACCAUUUACCUCAAGGGUAAAGUCAACAAUAAUAAAGCAUAAGUACUUAGCUCCAAGUUGAUAUAUGAAUAUAGAUCUUUCCCAAGCAUAUGACGUUCACCAAGAAAAAGGCUAAAUAAGGAAUUGGUGAAGAUCACCAUGACUCUUACAAGGGCAAAAAGUAAAUGUACAAGAUAGGCCCUUCGCAGAGGGAAGCAGAGGUUGUCAUGCGCUUUUGAUGUUUGGAUGCGUGUCCUCUUAGUGCGGAGGAACGUCACUUUAUAUUGCCUCCUAUGAUAAAGAACUUUAUUAUGCAGUCUGUCGCUUUUAUGUCUUCCUCAUCACAGGUUCGUACAAAGCUUAUUUUCCACACACUAAUAGAGCAUACAUAUUAGAGAGCAAUUUUUAUUGCUUGCACCGAUGACAACUUACUUGAGGGAUCUUAUUCCAUCCAUAGGUAGGUAUGGUGGACACUCAUGGCAAAACUGGGUUGAAGGUUUAUGGAUGCACAAGUAGUAUCUCUACUUGGUGCGGGAUUUUUGGCUAAUAUGAGGUGGAAGCAAUCGUCACAUGCUAAGGGAUCUCUAAUCAUAUAACAUUGUUUGGAACUAAGCAAACACAAUUCAUUAUGUUGUCUUCCUUGUCCAACAUCUACUUCUAAGCAUGUAAUAGUUUGGCUAGUGCUCACAAUUAUAGAAAGUGCCUAAGAUGAUAUAUUUAUAUGUGAACCUCUCUGUCCUUAUUACUUCUUAUUAAUUGCAACAAUGAUUGAGGUCUAUGUUGGUCUAUCUCAACAAGUUUCAAUCAUCAUACUUGUUAUAAGUGAAGCUAUCACUUUCCAUAAUAUCAUCUCAUGAUCUCUCAUGCUAUCGUUCUUUUCAUACUUUUGAUCACGGCACAAAACAAAGCCCUUGACUAAGAUACUCUUUAUUAUAUAGCUCGCAAGCUCGAAUACAUCGGGGGAGAGACAAAAGUAAAAGACUCAAUCUAAAACAGUAAAGACUUAUUCCACUAAGAGAAGAAAUAAAAACUGAAAAGGAAAGGACUAAAACAAAGGUAAAAGCAAAAGAUAUAAAGGUGAUACGAUACCAGGGCAACUCCCCCAAGCUUGGCAAAAGCCAAGGGGAUUGCCCAUACCAAUGCUUAGUUGUCUUCCUUUGGUGGUGAUGGUGGUGGUGUUGUUGAAGUAGUCUUGAGCUUGUCUAAUUUCCACUUGAGCAAAAAGUUCUGCUCCCUCAGAUCGUCAUUUUCCUCCGCAAGCUUCAACACUCUAUGACAAAGUUCCUGCUUACUCUCGUGCAAGAAACGAGAAGGGAUAAACAAGGUCUUAGGCUUCUUCCUUUGGUCAGGGAGGCUUGACUUCUUGAACUCCACGUGAGUGCAUCCAGGUUGGGGUAAAGGAGCCUCCUCUUCAUCGGAACUCGUUUGUUCCUUCCCCUUGGGCUCAUAGUCCUCUUCCUCGUCAGUAGUCCAGCCAUAAGGCUCCAAGUCCCCAUUAAUCCUGGAGUUAGCAUGAUCAUCGGCCAUAUAGAUCUCUUCUUCUGAAUCUUGAGAAGACAUCUUGACCUAAAUCUGCGGCAGACAACAUGCUCGAAACAUCUUGACCUAAAACUGCACGAUACGGAGAUCAAAACCAUCUGGACCAGAAGGAGUGCUCCGCAAGAAAACAGAGUCCGGGAGGCACACGAGCUGCCGACAAGCCCUGUUGCCGCGGCCAGGGGGGAGGCCGCGGCAACCAAGCUUGUGGCCGCCUCCUGCGCUCUCCAGACUGCUUUUUAUUUUUCUAAUUUUCCAUAAAUUCCAAAACGGAGAAAAAUUCCUAUUGGAAAAGUUUCGGAGUCCAAUUACUUACUGAGACAUAUACCUCUUGGUUUUUAGGGUCUCAAACAGGCUGAUAAACAUCCCUUAUGUACUCCUCUGGAGUUAUGAUAUUGAUGAUAUUGGUCUCAACAUUUAUGGGAGUACCAGAGAUAUAAUGCUUGAUUCUUUGCCCAUUUACCACUCUAGGAAAAUUGCCUUCCGUAUUACUGAUUUUGAUGGCACCGGAAUGAUAUACUUCCUCGACAAUGUAGGGACCUUCCCAUUAAGAGAGAAGCUUGCCUGCGAAGAAUCUCAAACGAGAAUUGUAUAGUAGGACAUAGUGACCUACAUUGAACUCUCGUUUUUGUAUUCUUUUAUCGUGCCAUCUCUUAACCUUUUCCUUGAACAACUUGGCAUUCUCGUAUGCCUGGGCCCUCCAUUCAUCUAAUGAGCUGAUAUCAAACAAUCGCUUCUCACCGGCAAGUUUGAAAUCAAAGUUGAGCUCUUUGAUUGCCCAAUAAGCUUUGUGUUCCAGCUCAAGAGGUAAAUGAGAAGCCUUACCGUAAACCAUUUUAUACGGUGACAUGCCCAUGGGAUUCUUAUAAGCAGUCCUAUAAGCCCAUAGUGCAUCGUCAAGUUUGCUAGACCAAUUCUUUUGAGAUCUAUUCACGGUCUUUUGUAAGAUCAAUUUGAUCUCCCUAUUACUCAACUCCACUUGACCACUAGACUGAGGAUGAUAAGGAGAUGCAACUCUAUGGUUGACAUCGUACUUAGCGAGCAUCUUGCGGAAAACACCAUGAAUGAAGUGUGAACCGCCAUCAGUCAUCAGAUAUCUAGGGACUCCAAAUCUUGGGAAAAUGUCUUCUUUAAGCAUCUUAAUAGAGGUGUGGUGAUCAACAUUUUUAGUGGGGAUAGCUUCUACCCACUUAGUGACGUAGUCCACAGCAAGUAAGAUGUGAGUGUAUCCAUUGGAGCUCGGGAAGGGUCCCAUAUAAUCAAAGCCCUAGACAUCAAAUGGUUCAAUGACCAGUGAAUAGUUCAUAGGCAUUUUCUGACGCUUACUGAUGUUCCCUAUUCUUUGGCAUUCGUCACAAGACAGUACAAACUUACGGGCAUCCUUGAAGAGUGUGGGCCAAUAGAAAUCUGAUUGCAAUACCUUAUGAGUUGUUCUGUCUCCAGCAUGGUGUCCUCUGUAAGCCUCGGAAUGACACUUCUUCAGGAUCUGUCCCUGUUCAUGUUCAGGCACACAAUGUCUAAUAACACCAUCUACUCCUUCCUUAUAGAGGUGAGGAUCAUCCCAAAAGUAGUGUCUCAAAUCAAAGAAGAAUUUCUUCUUUUGCUGGUAGGUGAAACUGGGUGGUAUGUAUUGGCUACGAUAUAGUUUGCGUAAUCAGCAUACCAUGGUGCACUAUGUGAAGUGCGGAUGACAUUCAAUUGCUCAUCAGGAAAGCUGUCAUCAAUAGGUCGUGGUGUUGGGGAACGUCGCAAGGGAAACAAAAAAUUUCCUACGCGCACGAAGACCUAUCAUGGUGAUGUCCAUCUACGAGAGGGGAUGAGUGAUCUACGUACCCUAGUAGAUCGUACAGCAGAAGCGUUUAGAGAACGCGGUUGAUGUAGUGGAACGUCCUCACGUCCCUCGAUCCGCCCCGCGAACAAUCCCGCGAUCAGUCCCACGAUCUAGUACCGAACGGACGGCACCUCCGCGUUCAGCACACGUACAGCUCGACGAUGAUCUCGGCCUUCUUGAUCCAGCAAGAGAGACGGAGAGGUAGAAGAGUUCUCCGGCAGCGUGACGGCGCUCCGGAGGUUGGUGAUGAUCUUGUCUCAGCAGGGCUCUGCCCGAGCUCCGCAGAAACACGAUCUAGAGGAAAAACUAUGGAGGUAUGUGGUCGGGCAGCCGUGAGAAAGUCGUCUCAAAUCAGCCCUAAUACCUCAGUAUAUAUAGGAGGGAGGGGGAGGGAAGAGGCAGCCUCAAACCCUCAAGGUUUGGCCGAAAUUGGAGGUGGAGGAGUCCUACUCCAAUCCUACUUGGAGUAGGAUUCCACCUUCCCACUUGAAAACUCUUUCCACCUUGUGUUUUUUCCUUCUCAAACCUUAUGGGCCUUAGUGGGAACUUAUUCCAGCCCACUAGGGGCUGGUUUAUCUCUUCCCAUAGCCCAUGAUACCCCUUGGGGCGUGACACCCCUCCCGAUGGUCCCCGGCACCCCUCCCGGCACUCCCGGUACACUACCGAUGAGCCCGAAACUUUUCCGGUGACCAAAACAGGACUUCCUAUAUAUCAAUCUUUACCUCCGGACCAUUCCGGAGCUCCUCGUGACGUCCUGCAUCUCAUCCGGGACUCCGAACAACAUUCGGUAACCAACCAUAUAACUCAAAUACGCAUAAAACAACGUCGAACCUUAAGUGUGCAGACCCUGCGGGUUCGAGAACUAUGUAGACAUGACCCGAGAGACUCCUCGGUCAAUAUCCAAUAGCGGGACCUAGAUGCCCAUAUUGGAUCCUACAUAUUCUACGAAGAUCUUAUCGUUUGAACCUCAGUGCCAAGGAUUCAUAUAAUCCCGUAUGUCAUUCCCUUUGUCCUUCGGUAUGUUACUUGCCCGAGAUUCGAUCGUCAGUAUCCGCAUACCUAUUUCAAUCUCGUUUACCGGCAAGUCUCUUUACUCGUUCCGUAAUACAAGAUCCCGCAACUUACAUUAAGUUACAUUGCUUGCAAGGCUUGUGUGUGAUGUUGUAUUACCGAGUGGGCCCCGAGAUACCUCUCCGUCACACGGAGUGACAAAUCCCAGUCUCGAUCUAUACUAACUCAACGAACACCUUCGGAGAUACCUGUAGAGCAUCUUUAUAGUCACCCAGUUACGUUGCAACGUUUGAUACACACAAAGCAUUCCUCCGGUGUCCGUGAGUUAUAUGAUCUCAUGGUCAUAGGAACAAAUACUUGACACGCAGAAAACAGUAGCAACAAAAUGACACGAUCAACAUGCUACGUCUAUUAGUUUGGGUCUAGUCCAUCACAUGAUUCUCCUAAUGAUGUGAUCCCGUUAUCAACUGACAACACUUGCCUAUGGCCAGGAAACCUUGACCAUCUUUGAUCAACGAGCUAGUCAACUAGAGGCUUAAUAGGGACAGUGUUUUGUCUAUGUAUCCACACAAGUAUUGUGUUUCCAAUCAAUACAAUUAUAGCAUGGAUAAUAAAAGAUUAUCAUGAACUAAGAAAUAUAAUAAUAACUAAUUUAUUAUUGCCUCUAGGGCAUAUUUCCAACACGUGGGUCAUCAAGGACAUUCUCUAGCCUAGACAAGUUAUCUGCUACAGGGUUAUCAACACCCUUUCGGUCAACAACAUGCAAAUCAAAUUCCUGUAGCAGAAGAACCCAUCUGAUUAGCCUAGGCUUAGCGUCCUUCUUCUCCAUGAGGUACUUAAUAGCAGCAUGAUCAGAGUGAAUAAUGACUUUGGAGUCAACUAUAUAAGAUCUGAACUUUUCACAUGCAAAUACGACUGCUAAAAACUCCUUCUCCGUAGUGGCAUAGUUUCUUUGGGCACUGUCUAGAGUUUUACUAGUGUAGUGAAUGACAUUCAACUUCUUGUCAACUAUUUGUCCUAGAACAGCACCAACAACAUAAUCACUAGCAUCGCACAUGAUUUCAAAGGGCAAGUUCCAUUCUGGUGGUUGAACAAUAGGUGCGGUUAUCAAGGCCUUCUUAAGUAUUUCGAAAGCUUCCUCACAAUCCUCAUCAAAAACAAAAGGAACAUCCUUCUGCAAGAGGUUGGUAAGAGGCCUAGAAAUCUUAGAAAAGUCUUUAAUGAACCUUCUAUAGAAACCAGCAUGACCUAGGAAACUCCGUAUACCUCUGAUAUCUGUGGGGCAAGGCAUUUUCUCAAUUGCAUCAACCUUAGCCUUAUCAACUUCAAUGCCUCUCUCAGAGAUUUUGUGUCCUAAGAUGAUGCCUUCAUUAACCAUGAAGUGGCACUUCUCCCAGUUCAAGACGAGGUUGGUAUCUUUGCAUCUCUGUAAGACUCGAUCAAGGUUGCUGAGGCAAUCGUCAAAGGAAGAACCGUAGACGGAGAAAUCAUCCAUGAAAACCUCAACAAUAUUUUCACAAAAGUCGGAGAAUAUAGCCAUCAUACAUCUUUGAAAGGUGGCUGGUGCAUUGCACAAGCCAAAAGGCAUGCGUCUACAAGCGAAUGUACCAAAGGGGCAUGUGAAGGUGGUUUUCUCUUGAUCAGAUUGUGCAACAGGUAUUUGCGAGAAACCUGAAUAACCGUCUAGAAAGGAGAAGUGUGUGUGUUUAGAUAGCCUUUCUAGCAUCAGGUCAAUAAACGGCAAAGGAUAAUGGUCUUUCCUAGUUGCCGUGUUCAGUUUCCGGAAGUCUAUCACCAUCCUAUAGCCAGUAAUAAUCCUGUGCGGGAUUAGUUCAUCCUUAUCAUUAGGAACGACAGUGAUACCUCCCUUCUUAGGUACGCAAUGUACUGGACUUACCCAAUCACUAUGAGCAACAGGAUAAAUGAUUCCUGCUUCAAGAAGCUUUAAUAUUUAUUUUCUCACGACCUCUUUCAUCCUAGGAUUUAAUCUCCUUUGAUGAUCAGCAACUGGCUUAGAAUCAGGAUCGGUUUUAAUCUUGUGCUGACAUAGAGUGGGACUAAUACCCUUAAGAUCAUCAAGAGUAUAUCCAAUAGCCUCACGGUGCUUCCUCAAAGUUUUAAUAACUUCUUCUCUUCGUGAUUCGAGAGGUGAGCACUAAUAAUAACAGGAUAUAUCUCCUUCUCAUCAAGAUAAGCAUACUUAAGAGUAUAUGGUAACUGUUUUAGCUCGAACACAGGAUCACCCUUUGGUGGGGGAGGAUCCUCAAGCAGUUCAACAGGCAGAUUAUUCUUGAGAAUAGGAUAUUGUUCUAAAACAAUUUUAUCUAUCUCAUCUCUUUCCUCCAUAUGCAUAUCAUUUUCAUGCUCAAGCAGAUAUUGCUCUAAAGGAUCCGUAGGAGGUACGGCAAUAGAGGCAAGAGCAAUGAUUUCAUCCCUACCAGACGACUCUUUUUCAUGGGGUUGUCUUCCAAACUUGGAGAAGUUAAAUUCAUGAGACACACCUUCGAAAGUAACAGUGACAGUCUGUUUAAUGCAAUCAAUGUGAGCAUUGACAGUGUUGAGAAAGGGUCUACCAAAUAUGAUGGGACAAAAGCUAUCUUGUGCAGUACCAAGGACGAGGAAAUCAGUAGGAUACUUUGUCUUACCACACAGGACUUCUAUGUCUCUCACAAUUCCUAGAGGGCAAAUAGUGUCUCUAUCAGCUAGCAUAAUAGUGACAUCAAUCGGUUCUAACUCAGCAGGUGCAAUCUCAUCUUUGAUUUUGUUGGGGAACGUCGCAAGGGAAACAAAAAUUUUCCUACGCGCACGAAGACCUAUCAUGGUGAUGUCCAUCUACGAGAGGGGAUGAGUGAUCUACGUACCCUUGUAGACCGUACAAAAGAAGCGUUAGAGAACGCGGUUGAUGUAGUGGAACGUCCUCACGUCCCUCGAUCCGCCCCGCGAACAAUCCCGCGAUCAGUCCCACGAUCUAGUACCGAACGGACGGCACCUCCACGUUCAGCACACGUACAGCUUGACGAUGAUCUCGGCCUUCUUGAUCCAGCAAGAGAGACGGAGAGGUAGAAGAGUUCUCCGGCAGCGUGACGGCGCUCCGGAGGUUGGUGAUGACCUUGUCUCAGCAGGGCUCCGCCCGAGCUCCGCAGAAACGCGAUCUAGAGGAAAAACCGUGGAGGUAUGUGGUCGGGCUGCCGUGGAAAAGUCGUCUCAAAUCAGCCCUAAAACCUCCGUAUAUAUAGGUGGGAGGGAGGGGGCCUUGCCUUGGGGUCCAAGGACCCUCAAGGGGGUCGGCCGAGCCAAGGGGGAGGACUCUCCCCCCCAAAACCGAGUUGGACUAGGUUUGGUGGGAGGGAGUCCCCCUCCCUUCCCACCUCCUCCUUUUUUUUCCUUUGAUUUCUUAUCCUUGGCGCAUAGGGCCCUUUUGGGCUGCCCCACCAGCCCACUAAGGGCUGGUGCUCCACCCUUAUGGCCUAUGGGCUUCCCCGGGGUGGGUUGCCCCCCCCCGGUGAACUCCCGGAACCCAUUCGUCAUUCCCGGUACAUUCCCGGUAACUCCGAAAACCUUCCGGUAAUCAAAUGAGGUCAUCCUAUAUAUCAAUCUUCGUUUCCGGACCAUUCCGGAAACCCUCGUGACGUCCGUGAUCUCAUCCGGGACUUCGAACAACAUUCGGCAACCAACCAUAUAACUCAAAUACGCAUAAAACAACGUCGAACCUUAAGUGUGCAGACCUUGCGGGUUCGAGAACUAUGUAGACAUGACCCGAGAGACUACUCGGUCAAUAUGCAAUAGCGGGACCUGGAUGCCCAUAUUGGAUCCUACAUAUUCUACGAAGAUCUUAUCGUUUGAACCUCAGUGCCAAGGAUUCGUAUAAUCCCGUAUGUCAUUCCCUUUGUCCUUCGGUAUGUUACUUGCCCGAGAUUCGAUCGUCAGUAUCCGCAUACCUAUUUCAAUCUCGUUUACCGGCAAGUCUCUUUACUCGUUCCGUAAUACAAGAUCCCGCAACUUACACUAAGUUACAUUGCUUGCAAGGCUUGUGUGUGAUGUUGUAUUACCGAGUGGGCCCCGAGAUACCUCUCCGUCACACGGAGUGACAAAUCCCAGUCUUGAUCCAUACUAACUCAACUAACACCUUCGGAGAUACCUGUAGAGCAUCUUUAUAGUCACCCAGUUACGUUGCGACGUUUGAUACACACAAAGCAUUCCUCCGGUGUCAGUGAGUUAUAUGAUCUCAUGGUCAUAGGAAUAAAUACUUGACACGCAGAAAACAGUAGCAACAAAAUGACACGAUCAACAUGCUACAUCUAUUAGUUUGGGUCUAAUCCAUCACGUGAUUCUCCCAAUGACGUGAUCCAGUUAUCAAGCAACAACACCUUGUUCAUAAUCAGAAGACACUGACUAUCAUUGACUAACUGGCUAGCCAACUAGAGGCAUGCUAGGGACGGUGUUUUGUCUAUGUAUCCACACAUGUAAAUGAGUCUUCAUUCAAUACAAUUAUAGCAUGGAUAAUAAACUAUUAUCUUGAUACAGGAAUUAUAAUAAUAACUACAUUUAUUAUUGCCUCUAGGGCAUAAUUCCAACAGUCUCCCACUUGCACUAGAGUCAAUAAUCCAGCCCUCACAUCACCAUGUGAAUUACAUUGUAAUAAAUCUAACACCCAUACAGUUCUGGUGUCGAUCAUGUUUUGGCCGUGGAAGAGGUUUAGUCAGCGGGUCUGCUACAGUCAGAUCCGUGUGCACUUUGCAUAUAUUCACGUCCUCUUCCUCGACGUAGUCGCGGAUGAGGUUGAAGCGUCGUUUGAUGUGUCUAGUCUUCUUGUGAAAACGCGGUUCCUUUGCUAAGGCAAUGGCACCCGUGUUGUCACAGAACAAGGUUAUUGGAUCCAGUGCACUUGGCACCACUCCAAGAUCCGUCAUGAACUGCUUCAUCCAGACACCCUCCUUAGUUGCCUCCGAGGCAGCCAUGUACUCCGCUUCACAUGUAGAAUCUGCUACGACGCUUUGCUUGGAACUGCACCAGCUUACUGCACCCCCAUUAAGAAUAAAUACGUAUCCGGUUUGCGACUUAGAGUCGUCCGGAUCUGUGUUAAAGCUUGCAUCGAUGUAACCUUUUACGGCGAGCUCUUCGUCACCUCCAUACACGAGAAACAUCUCCUUAGUCCUUUUCAGGUACUUCAGGAUAUUCUUGACCGUUGUCCAGUGAUCCACUCCUGGAUUACUCUGGAACCUACCUGCCAUACUUAUGGCCAGGCUAACAUCCGGUCUAGUGCACAGCAUCGCAUACAUGAUAGAACCUAUGGCUGAAGCAUAGGGGACGGAGCGCAUAUGCUCUCUAUCUUCAUCAGUUGCUGGGCACUGAGUCUUACUCAAUCUCGUACCUUGUAAAACUGGCAAGAACCCUUUCUUGGAUUGUUCCAUUUUGAACCUCUUCAAAACUUUAUCAAGGUAUGUGCUUUGUGAAAGUCCUAUCAGGCGUUUUGAUCUAUCCCUAUAGAUCUUAAUGCCUAGAUUGUAAGCAGCUUCUCCUAGGUCCUUCAUAGAGAAACUUUUAUUCAAGUAACCUUUUAUGCUCUCCAAAAGCUCUACGUUGUUUCCAAUCAGUAAUAUGUCAUCCACAUAUAAUAUUAGAAACGCCACAGAGCUCCCACUCACUUUCUUGUAAAUACAAGAUUCUCCAACCACUUGUAUAAACCCAAAUGCUUUGAUCACCUCAUCAAAGCGUUUGUUCCAACUCCGAGAUGCUUGCACCAGUCCAUAAAUGGAUCGCUGGAGCUUGCACACCUUGUCAGCAUUUUUAGGAUCGACAAAACCUUCGGGUUGCAUCAUAUACAACUCUUCCUUAAGGAAACCGUUAAGGAACACCGUUUUGACAUCCAUCUGCCAGAUUUCAUAAUCGAAAAAUGCAGCUAUUGCUAACAUGAUUCUGACGGACUUAAGCAUCGCUACGGGUGAGAAAGUCUCAUCGUAGUCAACUCCUGGAACUUGUGAAAAACCCUUUGCCACAAGUCGAGCUUUAUAAACGGUCACAUUACCGUCAGCGUCCGUCUUCUUCUUAAAGAUCCAUUUGUUCUAAAUAGCCUUGCGGCCCUCAGGUAGUAUCUCCAAAGUCCACACUUUGUUCUCAUAAAUGGAUCCUAUCUCGGAUUUCAUGGCUUCUAGCCAUUUGUUGGAAUCUGGGCCCACCAUUGCUUCUUCAUAAUUUGCAGGUUCAUUGUUGUCUAACAACAUGAUUGAUAAGACGGGAUUACCGUACCACUCUGGAGCAGCGCGUGAUCUCGUCGACCUGCGUGGUUCAACAGAAACUUGAACUGGAGUUUCAUGAUCAUCAUCAUUAACUUCCUCCUCAACCGGCGUCGCAACGACAGAGGUUUCCCCUUGCCCUGCGCCACUAUCCAGAGGGAUGAGAGGUUCGACAACCUCGUCAAGUUCUAUCUUCCUCCCACUCAAUUCUCUCGAGAGAAACUCCUUCUCGAGAAAAGCUCCGUUUUUAGCAACAAACACUUUGCCCUCGGAUUUGAGAUAGAAGGUGUACCCAACUGUCUCUUUUGGGUAACCUAUGAAGACGCACUUUUCCGCUUUGGGUUCCAGCUUUUCAGGCUGAAGCUUUUUGACAUAAGCAUCACAUCCCCAAACUUUAAGAAACGACAACUUUGGCCUUUUGCCGUACCACAGUUCGUAUGGUGUCGUCUCAACGGAUUUUGAUGGUGCCCUAUUUAAAGUGAAUGCAGCUGUUUCUAAUGCAUAACCCCAAAAUGAUAACGGCAAAUCAGUAAGAGACAUCAUAGAUCGCACCAUCUCUAACAAAGUACGAUUACGACGUUCGGACACACCAUUACGCUGUGGUGUUCCAGGCGGUGUUAACUGCGAAACAAUUCCACAUUGUCUUAAGUGAGCACCAAACUCGAAACUCAGAUAUUCACCCCCACGAUCAGACCGUAGGAACUUGAUCUUCUUGUUACGAUGAUUUUCCACUGCAUUCUGAAAUUGCUUGAACCUUUCAAAUGUUUCAGACUUGUGCUUCAUCAAGUAGACAUAACCAUAUCUACUUAAAUCGUCAGUGAAGGUGAGAAAAUAACGAUAUCCGCCGCGUGCCUCUACGCUCAUUGGACCACACACAUCGGUAUGUAUGAUUUCCAACAAGUCACUUGCACGCUCCAUUGUUCCGGAGAACGGAGUCUUAGUCAUCUUGCCCAUGAGGCAUGGUUCGCACGUGUCAAGUGAAUCAAAGUCAAGUGACUCCAAAAGUCCAUCAGCAUGGAGUUUCUUCAUGCGCUUUACACCAAUAUGACCUAAACGGCAGUGCCACAAAAAUAUGGCGCUAUCAUUGUUUACUCUAACUCUUUUGGUCUCAAUGUUAUGUAUAUGCGUAUCGCUAUCAAGAUUCAAUAUGAACAAUCCUCUCACAUUCGGUGCAUGACCAUAAAAGAUGUUACUCAUAGAAAUAGAACAACCAUUAUUCUCAGACUUAAAAGAGUAACCGUCUCGCAAUAAACAAGAUCCAGAUAUAAUGUUCAUGCUCAACGCAGGCACUAAAUAACAAUGAUUUAAGUUCAUCACUAAUCCCGAUGGUAGCUGAAGUGACACUGUGCCGACGGCGAUUGCAUCAACCUUGGAACCAUUUCCUACGCGCAUCGUCACUUCAUCUUUCGCCAGCCUUCGUCUAUUCCGCAGUUCUUGUUUCGAGUUGCAAAUGUGAGCAACAGAACCGGUAUCGAAUACCCUGGCACUACUACGAGAGCCGGUUAAGUACACAUCAAUAACAUGUAUAUCAAAUAUACCUGAUUUUUCUUUGCCCGCCUUCUUAUCUGCCAGAUACUUGGGGCAAUUGCGCUUCCAGUGACCCAUACCCUUGCAAUAGAAGCACUCUGUUUCAGGCUUAGGUCCAGCCUUGGGUUUCUUCGGCGGAUUGGCAACAGGCUUGCCGAUCUUCUUCGAAUUGCCCUUCUUGCCUUUGCCGUUUCUCUUGAAACUAGUGGUCUUGCUCACCAUCAACACUUGAUGCUCUUUACGGAGUUCAGACUCUGCGACUUUCAGCAUCGCAAACAACUCGCCGGGAGACUUGUUCAUCCCUUGCAUGUUGUAGUUCAACACAAAGCCUUUAUAGCUUGGUGGCAGUGAUUGAAGGAUUCUGUCAGUGAUAGCUUCUUGCGGGAGUUCAAUCCCCAGUUCAGCUAGACGGUUUCAGUACCCAGACAUUUUGAGCACAUGUUCACUGACAGACGAGUUUUCCUCCAUCUUGCAAGCAUAGAAUUUAUCGGAGGUCUCAUACCUCUCGAUCCGGGCGUUCUUCUGAAAGAUAAACUCCAACUCCUGGAACAUCUCAAAUGCUCCAUGGCGCUCAAAGCGACGUUGAAGUCCCGGUUCUAAGCCAUACAAGACUGCACAUUGAACUAUUGAGUAGUCCUCCUUACGUGCUAACCAAGCGUUCUUAACAUCCUGAUCAGCCGUAGCGGGUGGUUCAUCUCCUAGCGCAGCAUUAAGGACAUAAUCCUUCUUCCCAGCUUGUAAGAUUAGCUUAAGAUUACGAGCCCAGUCUACAAAGUUGCUUCCAUCAUCUUUCAACUUAGCUUUCUCUAGGAACGUAUUAAAAUUCAGGAUGACAGUCGCGUGAGCCAUGAUCUACAACACAAAUAUAUUCAAAGUGGACUUAGACUAUGUUCAAGAUAAUUAGAGUUCAACUUAAUCAAAUUAUAUGCUAAACUCCCACUCAAAAAGUACAUCUCUCUAGUCAUUUGAGUGGUUCAUGAUCCACUUACACUAUCCCAAGUCCGAUCAUCACGUGAGUUGAGUAUAGUUUCAGUGGUAAGCAUCCCUAUGCUAAUCAUAUCAACUAUAUGAUUCAUGAUCGACCUUUCGGUCUCAUCUGUUCCGAGGCCAUGUCUGCACAUGCUAGGCUCGUCAAGCUUAAUCCGAGUGUUCCGCGUGCGCAACUGUUUUGCACCCGUUGUAUGUGAACGUUGAGUCUAUCACACCCGAUCAUCACGUGGUGUCUCGAAACGACGAACUGUAGCAACGGUGCACAGUCGGGGAGAACACAAUUUCGUCUUGAAAUUUUAGUGAGAGAUCACCUCAUAAUGCUACCGUCGUUCUAAGCAAAAUAAGGUGCAUAAAAGGAUUACCAUCACAUGCAAUUCAUAAGUGACAUGAUAUGACCAUCAUCACGUGCUUCUUGAUCUCCAUCACCAAAGCACCGGCACGAUCUUCUUGUCACCGGCGCCACACCAUGAUCAUCCAUCAACGUGUUGCCAUCGGGGUUGUCGUGCUACUUAUGCUAUUACUACUAAAGCUACAUCCUAGCAAAAUAGUAAACGCAUCUGCAAGCACAAACGUUACUAUAAAGACAACCCUAUGGCUCCUGCCGGUUGCCGUACCAUCGACGUGCAAGUCGAUAUUUCUAUUACAACAUGAUCAUCUCAUACAUCCAAUAUAUCACAUCACAUCGUUGGCCAUAUCACAUCACAAUCAUACCCUGCAAAAACAAGUUAGACGUCCUCUAAUUUUGUUGUUGCAUGUUUUACGUGGUGACCAAGGGUAUCUAGUAGGAUCGCAUCUUACUUACGCAAACACCACAACGGAGAUAUAUGAGUUGCUAUUUAACCUCAUCCAAGGACCUCCUCGGUCAAAUCCGAUUCAACUAAAGUUGAAGAAACCGUCACUUGCCAGUCAUCUUUGAGCAAAGGGGGUUGCUCGUAAUGAUGAAACCAGUCUCUCAUAAGCGUACGAGUAAUGUCGGUCCAAGCUGCUUCAAUCCAACAAUACCGCAGAAUCAAGAAAAGACUAAGGAGGGCAGCAAAACGCACAUCACCGCCCACAAAACCUUUUGUGUUCUACUCGAGAAGACAUCUACGCAUGAACCUAGCUCAUGAUGCCACUGUUGGGGAACGUCGCAAGGGAAACAAAAAUUUUCCUACGCGCACGAAGACCUAUCAUGGUGAUGUCCAUCUACGAGAGGGGAUGAGUGAUCUACGUACCCUUGUAGAUCAUACAGCAGAAGCGUUUAGAGAACGCGGUUGAUGUAGUGGAACGUCCUCACGUCCCUCGAUCCGCCCCGCGAACAAUCCCGCGAUCAGUCCCACGAUCUAGUACCGAACGGACGGCACCUCCGCGUUCAGCACACGUACAGCUCGACGAUGAUCUCGGCCUUCUUGAUCCAGCAAGAGAGAUGGAGAGGUAGAAGAGUUCUCCGGCAGCGUGACGGCGCUCCGGAGGUUGGUGAUGAUCUUGUCUCAGCAGGGCUCCGCCCGAGCUCCGCAGAAACACGAUCUAGAGGAAAAACUAUGGAGGUAUGUGGUCGGGCAGCCGUGAGAAAGUCGUCUCAAAUCAGCCCUAAUACCUCAGUAUAUAUAGGAGGGAGGGGGAGGGAAGAGGCAGCCUCAAACCCUCAAGGUUUGGCCGAAAUUGGAGGUGGAGGAGUCCUACUCCAAUCCUACUUGGAGUAGGAUUCCACCUUCCCACUUGGAAACUCUUUCCACCUUGUGUUUUUUCCUUCUCAAACCUUAUGGGCCUUAGUGGGAACUUAUUCCAGCCCACUAGGGGCUGGUUUAUCUCUUCCCAUAACCCAUGAUACCCCUUGGGGCGUGACACCCCUCCCGAUGGUCCCCGGCACCCCUCCCGGCACUCCCGGUACACUACCGAUGAGCCCGAAACUUUUCCGGUGACCAAAACAGGACUUCCUAUAUAUCAAUCUUUACCUCCGGACCAUUCCGGAGCUCCUCGUGACGUCCUGGAUCUCAUCCGGGACUCCGAACAACAUUCGGUAACCAACCAUAUAACUCAAAUACGCAUAAAACAACGUCGAACCUUAAGUGUGCAGACCCUGCGGGUUCGAGAACUAUGUAGACAUGACCCGAGAGACUCCUCGGUCAAUAUCCAAUAGCGGGACCUGGAUGCCCAUAUUGGAUCCUACAUAUUCUACGAAGAUCUUUAUCGUUUGAACCUCAGUGCCAAGGAUUCGUAUAAUCCCGUAUGUCAUUCCCUUUGUCCUUCGGUAUGUUACUUACCCGAGAUUCGAUCGUCAGUAUCCGCAUACCUAUUUCAAUCUCGUUUACCGGCAAGUCUCUUUACUCGUUCCGUAAUACAAGAUCCCGUAACUUACACUAAGUUACAUUGCUUGCAAGGCUUGUGUGUGAUGUUGUAUUACCGAGUGGGCCCCGAGAUACCUCUCCGUCACACGGAGUGACAAAUCCCAGUCUUGAUCCAUACUAACUCAACUAACACCUUCUGAGAUACCUGUAGAGCAUCUUUAUAGUCACCCAGUUACGUUGCGACGUUUGAUACACACAAAGCAUUCCUCCGGUGUCAGUGAGUUAUAUGAUCUCAUGGUCAUAGGAAUAAAUACUUGACACGCAGAAAACAGUAGCAACAAAAUGACACGAUCAACAUGCUACGUCUAUUAGUUUGGGUCUAAUCCAUCACGUGAUUCUCCCAAUGACGUGAUCCAGUUAUCAAGCAACAACACCUUGUUCAUAAUCAGAAGACACUGACUAUCAUUGACUAACUGGCUAGCCAACUAGAGGCAUGCUAGGGACGGUGUUUGGUCUAUGUAUCCACACAUGUAAAUGAGUCUUCAUUCAAUACAAUUAUAGCAUGGAUAAUAAACUAUUAUCUUGAUACAUGAAUUAUAAUAAUAACUACAUUUAUUAUUGCCUCUAGGGCAUAAUUCCAACAGAUUUCAUCAUAUAGGGAACGGUGUAUUGCACUAACACUAGCACCCAUAUCACAUAAACCGUGGUAACAGUGAUCUGCUAUCUUGACAGAAACAACGGGCAGGCCAACUACAUGUCCGUAGUUGUCUUUCGCGUGAGGUUUAGCAAUUCUAGUGGAGUCCUCACAGAAUUUGAUAACAUGCCCGUCUAUGUCUUCGGCUAAGAGAUCUUUGAUAAUAGCAACACUAGGUUAAAGUCUAAUUUCCUCACGGGGUGCAAGUGGUCUAAUGUAACCCCUACGUAUCACAGUUGGAGCUUUAGAAUAAUCCUUUAUCCUAGCAGGGUAAGGUGGUUUCUCAGCGUAGGCACAAGGAACAACAAGAUCACUAAAAGCAAUGACUUUCUCCUCAACUAGAUUGGUUUUGGCUAUGUUGCUUUCUACAGGAGGAUGAUAUUUAAACCACUUCUCUUUGGGAAGAUUAACAUGAGCACCAAAAGAUUCACAUAGAGAAGCUAUUAUCUCAGAGUCAAGUCCAUACUUAGCGCUAAAAUCUCUAGAAGUGUUUGUCUCAACAAAAGAUUUAACGCAAUCAAACUGGAAAUUCAUACUUGGCUCCUUACCUUCUUCCAGCUCCCAAUCUUCAGAGUUACGUUUGAUUAUUUCCAAUAAAUUCCACUUGUGGUCAAUAUCCUUCUUCAUAAAAGAACCAGUACAAGAAGUGUCAAGCAUGGUACGAUCUUCAUGAGAAAGCCGAGCAUAAAAGUUUUGAGUGAUAAUUUCUCUCGAGAGCUCAUGAUUGGGGUAUGAAUAUAGCAUUGAUUUAAGCCUCCCCCAAGCUUGAGCUAUGCUUUCCCUGUCACGAGGCCAAAAGUUAUAAAUAUAAUUCCGAUCACGAUGUACUAAAUGCAUAGGAUAGAACUUUUGAUGAAAUUCCAAUUUCAACCGAUUGUAGUCCCAUGAUCCAGUAUCAUCACAUAGCCUAUACCAUGUCAACGCCUUAUCCUUCAAAGAUAAAGGAAAGACUUUCUUAUUUACCUCAUCCUCGGGCAAACCUGCAAGCUUAAAUAAACCACAAACUUCAUCUACAUAGAUUAGAUGCAAGUCUGGAUGUGAAGAUCCAUCUCCUGUAAAAGGAUUAGCCAGCAGUUUCUCAAGCAUACCCGAAGGGAUUUCAUAAGAGAUAUUUUCAGUAGGUACCUCAGGUUGAGGAACAACUCCUCGUGCUUCCGUUCGUGGUGAAGAUACCCCGAACAAACUCCUCAAAGGAACAGUUUCCAUAGUGACAAGUGACAAUGAAUUUCAGCACAAUAUAUAAAUGUUUCCUUACCAAAUUCCACUUACCAAAGGCGCUUCCUCCCCGGCAACGGCGCAUGAAAAGAGUCUUGAUGACCCACAAGUAUAGGGGAUCAAUCGUAGUCCUUUCGAUAAGUAAGAGCGUUGAACUCAACGAGGAGGAGAAGGCUCUGAUAAAAGGUUUUCAGCAAGGUAAUAACUGCAAGCACUGAAAGUAGCGGUAACAGGUGAUGGUGUAGUGAAGUGAAACGUAGCAAGCGAAAAGUAACAAGUAACAAGUAGUAGCAACGGUGCAGCAAGUGGCCCAAUCCCUUUUGUAGCAAGGGACAAGCCUGAACAAAGUCUUAUAAGAGGAAAAGCGCUCCCGAGGACACACGGGAAUUUCUGUCAUGCUAGUUUCAUCAUGUUCAUAUGAUUCACGUUCGUUACUUUGAUAGUUUGAUAUGUGGGUGGACCGGCGCUUGGGUACUGCCCUUACUUGGACAAGCAUCCCACUUAUGAUUAACCCCUCUCGCAAGCAUCCGCAAAUACAAAAGAAGAAUUAAGACAACGUCUAACCAUAGCAUUAAACUAGUGGAUCCAAAUCAGCCCCUUACGAAGCAACGCAUAGACUGGGGUUUAAGCUUCUGUUACUCCAGCAACCCAUCAUCUACUUACUACUCCCCAAUGCCUUCCUCUAGGCCCAAAUAUGGUGAAGUGUUAUGUAGUCGACGUUCACAUAACACCACUAGAGGAAAAUCAACAUACAACAUAUCAAAAUACCGAGCAAAUACCAAACUCACAUGACUAUUAUUAGCAUGACUUAUCCCAUGUCCCCAGGAACAAAAGUAACUACUCACAAAGCAUAAUCAUAAUCAUGAUCAGAGGUGUAAUGAAUAACUUCAAGGAUCUGAACAUAAACUCUUCCACCAAGUAAUCCAACUAGCAUCAACUACAAAUAGUAAUCAACACUACUAGCAACCUUACAAGUACCAAUCGGAGUCGCGAGAUGGAGAUUGGUUACAAGAGAUGAACUAGGGAUUGGAGAGGAACUGGUGCCGAUGAAGAUGUUGAUGAAGAUGCAUCCCCUCCGACGAGAGGAGUGUUGGUGAUGACGAAGGCGACGAUUUCCCCCUCCGGGAGGGAAGUUUCCCCGGCAGGAUCGUCCUGCCGGAGCUCUAGAUUGGAUCUGCUCAAGUUCCGCCUCGUGGCGGCGGCGAAACCACGAAAACGCUCCCGAAUGAAUUUUUUUUUCUGGAACGAAACCCUUCAUAUAGCAAAAGAGGCGGGCCAGUGGGCCGCCAGGGUGCCCACAAGCCCUGUUGCCACGGCCAGGGGAUAGGCUGCGGCAACCAGGCUUGUGCCCCCCUGGUUGCUCCCCUCUGACACUUCUUUCGCCCAGUAUUUUUUAUAAAAUCCAAAAAAAAUCCACGUUGAUUUUCAGGACAUUUGGAGUUGCGCGGAAUAGAGCACUCAGACUUGCUCCUUUUCCAGUCCAGAAUUCCAGCUGUCGGUAUUCUCCCUCUUCAAAUAAACCUUGCAAAAUAAGAGAUAAAGGCAUAAUUAAGGUUCCACAAAGUAUAAUAACAGUCCAAAAAGCGAUAAAUAUCAACAUGAAAGCAUGAUGCAAAAUGGACGUAUCAAGGGCCAAGGCAGGAGAGCUACAGGGGGCCCACAAGCCAUGUAGCCGCCACCAGGGGGGCCGGUGGCUACCAGGCUUGUGGCCUCCCUGGCGCUCCCCUGCCCUAUCUCUUUCACCUAUAUAUUCCCUAAAAUCCAGAAAAAAAUGAGGUCAUCCACGAAAACACUUUUUCGCCGCCGCAAGCUUUCGUUUCCGCGAUAUCUCAUUUGGAGACCCUUCCCGGUGCCGUGCCGGAGGGGACUUUGGAGUUGGAGGGCUUCUACAUCAACAUCAACGCCUCUCCAAUGACUCGUGAGUAGUCCACUUCAGACCUACGGGUCCGUAGUUAGUAGCUAGAUGGCUUCUUCUCUCUCUUGGAUCUUCAAUACAAAGUUCUCCAUGAUCUUCUUGGAGAUCUAUCCGAUGUAAUCCUCUUUGGCGGUGUGUUUGUCGAGAUACGAUGAAUUGUGGAUUUGUGAUCAGAUUAUCUAUGAUAUAUAUUUGAGUCUUUGCUCAUUUCUUAUAUGCAUGAUUUGAUAUCCUUUUAAGUCUCUCCGAGUCUUGUGUUUUGUUUGGCCAACUAGAUCUAUGAUUCUUGUAAUGGGAGAAGUGCUUGGUUUUGGGUUCAUACCGUGUGGUGACCUUUCCCAGUGACAGAAGGGGCAGCAAGGCACACAUCGUGUUGUUGCCAUCAAGGGUAAUAAGAUGGGCUUUUAUCGUAGAUAUGAGAUUGUCCAUCUACAUCAUGUCAUCUUGCUUAAGGCGUUACUCUGUUCUUAUGAACUUAAUACACUAGAUGCAUGCUGGAUAGCGGUCGACGUGUGGAGUAAUAGUAGUAGAUGCACAAAGUAUCGGUCUACUUGUUUUGGACGUGAUGCCUAUAGAUAUAAUCAUUACCAUAGAUGAUGUCACGACUUUGCGCGGUUCUAUCAAUUGCUUGACAGUAAUUCGUUCACCCACCGUCUACUUGCUUUCAUGAGAGAAGUCACUAGUGAACACUACGGCCCCCGGGUCUAUUCACAACUAUCGUUUCCACUUUCGCUUUUACUUUGCUUUGUUUAUUUUUUGCUUUCAGUUCUCACUUUGCAAACAAUCUAUAAGGGAUUGACAACCCCUUCAUAGCGUUGGGUGCAAGCUCUUUGUGUUUGUGGAGGUACUUGUGACUCGACACGAUUCUCCCACUGGAUCGAUACCUUGGUUCUCAAACUGAGGGAAAUACUUACCGCCGCUGUGCUACAUCACCCUUUCCUCUUCAAGGGAACAUCAACGCAAGGCUCCAAGGCCGCGGGGAAAUACUUUGCAUAUUUGCCAAGGAAGUCCCUAUAGGCGUAGCCCGUGACAGAAGGAUUCCUGGCGCCGUUGCCAGGGAAGGUUUGUUGUCGCAGUAGCAGAAGGAUUUCUGGCGCCGUUGCCGGGGAGGAGGAUCGCUUGCGGAGGAGAGAUCAAGUCAAGAUCUAUCCAAGUAGGUGUCACAAACUCAUCUCUUGCAUUUACCUUUUUGCCAGUUGCCUCUCGUUUUCCUCUCCCCCACUUCACAUUUGUCGUUUUCAUUUGCCUUUUUCGUUUGCCUUUUCCGUUCGCCUUUUUGUUCGCCCUUUUUUCUCGCUUUCUUUCUGUUCGCUUGUGUGCCAUGUGCCUUCAGUAUGCUUGCAUCUUCGCUUGCUGAAAAUCUAGUGAUAUGGAUCCUCAUCAACUUGCUAAUCUCUUUAAGAGAUCCAAUUAUGUUGAUCCAAUUGCUAGUAAGUUGAGUGCACUUGACUUUCUUUAUAGAGUUUUGCUUGAGAUGCGUGAAUCUUAAAAUUGUGAGGAAGAAAUUUAUGAAGUGAUUCAUGAGGGCUCCUUGGAUGAAAAGCAUGAUUGCAAUGGUUUCACUAUAAAUUCUAUUAGUGACAAUCAUGCUAAAAAUAUGCAAAACCCUAACCUCAUGAUGAAUAUGAUAUUUGCAAUAAUAUUGAAAGUGGGUUUGGAGAAUUCAUGACUUUAGUUGAUGAUAAUCCCACUAUUUUUGAAGAGCAUCAACUUUGCAUGCAUGUGGAUCAUGAAAACAAUAUCCUAUGUGAUAUUUACAUUGUUGAAUUCGAAUAUGAUCCCACAUGUAAUUAUUAUGAGAGAGGAAAAUAUGGUGGUAGAAACUUUCAUAUCACUAAAUUACCUCUCGUUAUGUUGAGAUUGCUAUUGUCUCUUUCUUCUUCCUUGCAUAUGGUAACUAUUGGUUGUCUUGACGAUCUGUUUUCCUAUAAAAUGCCUAUGCAUAGGAAGUAUGUUAGACUUACAUGUGAUUUUUACAUGCUUCAUGAUGCUCUCGUUGUGCUUCAAUUCUUGUCUUUUGUGUGAGCAUCAUUGAACUAUCAAUGCCUAGCUAAGGGCGUUAAACAAUAGCGCUUGUUGGGAGGCAACCCAACGAAUCUAUCCUUUUUCUUUCUGUUUUGUGUUUUCCACACUUUCAUAAUUCUGUUAUGAUUGUGUUUUUUGUGUUUCCUUUUGCGUUUGUGCCAAUUAAAACCGUUAUGAUUAGUCUUGGGGAUGAUCGUUUGGUCAUGCUGGAAAAGACAGAAACUUUCUGCUCACGAAAAGAAUUUUCAUUUUUUUCCGUAAGAGCUUUUGAGUUGAUUCUUUUUGCUUCUGAUUGCUACACAAAUUCUUCAGACUGUCGUAAUUUUUCAGAAUUUUUGAAGUACAGAAGUAUACGAAGUAUACAGAUUGCUACAGACUGGUUUGCUGUUAACAGAUUAUGUUUCUAUUGAGUUGGUUGCUUAUUUUGAUGAAACUAUGGAUAGUAUCGGGGGGUAUUUGUUGGAAAUAUGCCCUAGAGGCAAUAAUAAAUUAGUUAUUAUUAUAUUUCUUAGUUCAUGAUAAUCGUUUAUUAUCCAUGCUAUAAUUGUAUUGAUUGGAAACACAGUGCAUGUGUGGAUACAUAGACAAAACACUGUCCCUAGUAAGCCUCUAGUUGACUAGCUCGUUGAUCAAAGAUGGUCAAGGUUUCCUGACCAUAGGCAAGUGUUGUCACUUGAUAACGGGAUCACAUCAUUAGGAGAAUCAUGUGAUGGACUAGACCCAAACUAAUAGACGUUGCUACUGUUUUCUGCGUGUCAAGUAUUUGUUCCUAUGACCAUGAGAGCAUAUAACUCACUGACACCGGAGGAAUGCUUUGUGUGUAUCAAACAUCGCAACAUAACUGGGUGACUAUAAAGAUGCUCCACAGGUAUCUCCGAAGGUGUUCGUUGAGUUAGUAUGGAUCGAGACUGGGAUUUGUCACUCCGUGUGACGGAGAGGUAUCUCACGGCCCACUCGGUAAUACAACAUCACACACAAGCCUUGCAAGCAAUGUGACUUAGUGUAAGUUGCGGGAUCUUGUAUUACGGAACGAGUAAAGAGACUUGCCGGUAAACGAGAUUGAAAUAGGUAUGCGGAUACUGACGAUCGAAUCGUACGGGAAAGUAACAUACCGAAGGACAAAGGGAAUGACAUACGGGAUUAUAUAAUCCUUGGCACUGAGGUUCAAACGAUAAGAUCUUCGUAGAAUAUGUGGGAUCCAAUAUGGGCAUCCAGGUCCCGCUAUUGGAUAUUGACCGAGGAGUCACUUGGGUCAUGUCUACAUAGUUCUCGAACCCGCAGGGUCUGCACACUUAAGGUUCGACGUUGUUUUAUGCGUAUUUGAGUUAUAUGGUUGGUUACCGAAUGUUGUUCGGAGUCCCGGAUGAGAUCACGGACGUCACGAGGGUUUCCGGAAUAGUCCGGAAACGAAGAUUGAUAUAUAGGAUGACCUCAUUUGAUUACCGGAAGGUUUUUGGAGUUACCGGGAAUGUACCGGGAAUGACGAAUGGGUUCCGGGUGUUCACCGGGGGGGGCAACCCUCCCCGGGGAAGCCCAUAGGCCUUGGGGGUGGCGCACCAGCCCUUGGUGGGCUGGUAGAACAGCCCAAGAAGGCCCUAUGCGCCAAGGAUAGGAAAUCAAAAAGAAAAGAAAAAAAAGAGGUGGGAAGGAGAGAAGGACUCCACUUUCCAAUCCUAGUUGGACUAGGAUUGGAGGAGGACUCCUCCUCCCUUGGUGGUGCAGCCCUUGGGGCUCCUUGAGCCUCAAGGCAAGCCUCCCCUCCCUCCUCCUAUAUAUAUGGAGCAAUUAGGGCUGAUUUGAGACAACUUUUGCCACAGCAGCCCGACCACAUAUGUGACAGCCCGAUGCCGACGUUCCAGAAGAUUCCCCUCUCUUUCCGUUUUCGUCGUGUGUCUAUUCUCUUUUGUCGCAUCAUCAUCAUCGCAUCAUGCGCAUCAUAUGCAUUGCAUCAGCAUCCCGUUGCCGCCCGUUUUCAAAACCUGCAUUCGCUAGUAGUCGCCGGUUCUCGUCGUUGUCCGUUCUGAGCCCGACCGCACUCGCACGCGCCCGCGGCACCGUCGAAACCCUGUUUUAAAAGUGUGCAUAAAACCUUCUCUGAUUGGGUUGAGAUUUGACGUGCGGUCGUUUUUUUAAUAUAGGUAGGCCGCCUGUCAAGUUUCGUCGCAAUCGGAGUCCGUCUGGUACCCGAACGGUCGUCCGUAGCGGCACCGUCUUCGGUCUAUCGCGGUCGUUUUCCCUCUCACCUCCGCCUAGCCACUCUUCACAGCCACCUAGACAUUCACGCGUCUGUGGCCGUUCGAUCGCGAUCACGUGGUCGAAAACGGAGUCGGAUUCGGAUAACCCUAGCCCCCUUUCCUAUUUAAUCUCCUCCUCCUCUCAUUUUGGACAGCCAAUCCCCCUUGCCUCGUUUUCCGUGCAAACCUAACCCUAGUCUAUCCACCUUUUCCACCUUUCAGAUCUGAUCUAGCCUCUCCAUCGAUCUAGACCGUUGGAUCGGAGAUCCAACGGAUGAAAAUACUCUUGAGCCUUCCAUGGAGCUCCUCCCGUGUCUCUCCUCGUGCCCGAGCUCCUUCCUCCCGAGCAUGGCCGCAGCUCCUCCCCGCUGCCGGAGCACCACCGGCCAGGCAGCAGCAGCCGUCGGAGCUUCUUCGCCGGGCCACCACCUUCUCCUCCCCUUUCCUCUCUCCUUCCUCUCCCUCUCCUUCCCUGCCUCGUCCUCACCUUCUUCUUCUUCUUUGCAGGUUCAAUGGCCGUCGUUGAGCUCGCCUGUGCGCCUCUCCAUGUCCUAUCUCUGGCCAGAUCCGGGAUGGAGCUGCCAGAUCCGCUCGUUCCCAUGCUCCUGUGGCCGCCCUCGCCCCAACCAGCCUCGUCACCCGGUUGCCGGCGCGUUCGUGCAUCUCCAUGGCCGACGGGAUCGGUUCCCCUGUAAGCUUCGUUCUGAAUCUGUUGCCUAGAGGUAAUAUAUGUUAGACGCUGACUUUAAUCAUGUGUUCAACGCUAGCUGAGUUGGCUAGGGCAGCCGAUCCCAUCUCCUAGCACCAGCAGGUCGAGGGUUCAAGUCCCCGUGAAUGCAUGUUUUUUAUAUGCAUUUUUUUCCUCUUGAGGAUGACCUCCUUCCUUUAUUUUAGUGUCUGUCCAGCCACUAUUAUUUCACAAACACUCGGUAGCCCAAUUGAUCAACUUUUGUUAGCAACCAUUGGAGUCCUGGGAUCAAAUCCCAGUGUCCUCCUUUUUUUUUGCUUUCGGGAAGAUUCUUUUUAGCUUUUGUAAAAUCCAUAUAAAUUCAACCGUGCGUCGGAUUGCGACAAGUUAGAUAUGUAACUCGUGUACAAUUUCGCGUAGAUUACGAAUUUGUAACUUGCAUAAAUGUUUGAAAUAGUUUGACCCGCCGAAUCCCUACAAACGCGUGCUGACCUAUUAUGUUUUGUCCCGUAUUAAUUUUCUCGUGCGUGUCUGGACUGUCCGUAUACCGGAGAUUAAAUGUCCAUGUUUUAGGGACCAUUUUUCCAUGAAUGUUAGAGCGGUCAUUGGUAUUUUUGCGUGUAGGGUUUGCCGGUAGUUUAUUUUCCAGUAUAUAGGUGAUUAUCUCGCAUUAAUGUGUGGCAUUAUUUUGUGUUGCAACCCCACAUAUUUUAUAUGUUUUCGGGGUAGAAAAAUACCAUGGAUUUUUAUGUGCAAUUAGUUUUGCCAUUAGAGCAAGUUAGUUCGUGAGAUAUUUUGCCAUGUUGCCCUUUUGUUUAAUUCGUAGGAUUUAUUCCGUGCGUUGUUUGACGGAGUUGUCAACUAGAGAGUUGAUCUUGGAUGUUUUGUUUAGCCUCUGGUAUUUUUAGUUGUAAUAGAAAUGCAUGUUUAGGUGUGUUUUUCUUGCUCGUAAGUUGCUAGAAAUAGUGCUGUUUUAGGGGUGCUGAAAUAUUUCUAAGUCUGGAAUCUGUUAUAUUUUGUUGCUGUCUUGUCUUGCUUGCAUCUUGUGAUCUGUAGCUCUUUUGAGGUUGGUCCAAUGGAGUUAGUUGUACCCCUUGUGUUUCUCUAGCAUGCUGUGAAUUUUCAUGCCAUUUGGAGACCUCUGGCUUAGGAUUUUGCUGCUGUCAAUAUGCCUUCAGGCUGAAAACUGCACUUUCAUGAUGUGUUAUUUUCACUAAGUCUGAAAUAGUGUGUGAGAUGCCAUUUUGUGUCUUCUUUUCCUAGUGCUCCUUGCUGCCAUGCUAGUUGUUGUUAGCUGUUCGUAGUAAUGCUUCUUUCCCUCUUCCAUGCCAUGCCUUACUUGAGCAUAUCGGAGUUGUGUAGCCGUAGUUGUGGGGCGUAGAAAAUGGUAUGUGGCUGAUUUUGGCAGAUUGUAGUGUUUUCUUGUUAUGCUCGUAGUUUUCGAACCGUAGCUCCGUUUUUUCUUGCUUAGAAUCUCGUGUAGUUUCAUUUUCUCUUGCUGUUUGUAUGUGUUGAAGUGCUCGUAGCCGCCGUUGCACACAUUUUUGCAUUCAUGCUAUCAUAUCUUGCGGUGCUUGUAUCUUUUGAUCCGUAGCUCCGUUGGAGAUGUUCUUUAUGUGUAGAUUGCUUGCCUUGAUGCGUAGAAUCAUGUGAACCUAUUUGUUUUGCGGUUUAACAACUAAUCAAAUGCAUUAGUUCAGAUCUGGACAGAAUUGUAAAUUAACAUGUGAGGUCGUCUCGGAGAUGCUAUAUGUCAUUUCGGACCUCACUUAAAAUGCCUAGAUAGGUAGUUUAACUUCCGCUUCACCUCUUACAUGUUUGACAACAUUAAUAUUACCGUGUAGAUAACCGGGAGUGAACUAAAUAAUUAACGUGGAAUUUCGUCAAUAUGCAACUCGUUGCAUAUUGAACUUCACUUAAUGUGUAGUUUUGAUUGUGUGAAUUUGUCAUGCCGUGACUUGCAUGUAUUUAGCUGUUCAUGCAUCAUAUGUGUUGUGCUUCGUGUGGUGAAUAUCGUGUGUUGAUGCUUGUUUCCGGUUUCCCCGUCUCGAUAGAGUUCCGCAAGCGAGUCGGAUGUGAGGACCCGUUCGACUACAUCGGUUCGUCUGCUUCACGGAGGCAUUCUUCUUCCAAGCGGGAUCUCAGGCAAGAUGAUCAUUUCCCCAGAUACCAUUACUAUCAUUGUCAUGCUAGUUAUUUCGAUGCUAUCGCUUAUGUCUCGUUGCCUACCACUGUUAAUUAUCAGCCUCUCAACAAUGCCAUGAAACCUUCAACCUCUUCAACCUAGCAAACCACUGAUUGGCUAGGUUACUGCUUGCUUAACCAUGUUGAUAGCGUUACUAGUUGCAGGUGCAGAUGCUUCCAUGCGAAAGCAUGGGUUCCUUGUUAUAUCACCAUAUUUAACUGCUAUUUAAUUUAAUGCACCUAUAUACUUGGUAAAAGGUGGAAGGCUCGGCCUUUCUAGCCUGGUGUUUUGUUCCACCUUUGCCCCUUUUAGUUACCGGCUACCGGUGUUAUGUUCCAUAAAUGAGCGCUCCUAACACGAUCGGGGUUGUUAUGGGGACCCCCUUGAUAAUUCGUUUUAGAUUAAAGCUGGUCUGGCAAGGCCCAACAUUGGUACUACAUUUGCCUAAUCACCUAAUAAAUUGCAUAGGGACCCGCCGGCACCCGCGGACUAUUUUAAUCAACCCCCGGGCCAGUGCUCCUCAUGAGUGUUGGUCCAAAACAGAGCAGCUUAUUAACGCUACCCGGGGCAACUCGGCGUUUGGCGUGGUAACCAUAGCUCAUCCGUCGUGUCCUGAGAACGAGGUACGCGACUCCUAUCGGGAUCAUCGACACGUCGGGCGGCCUUGCUGGAUUAGUUUUACCUUUGACGAAAUAUCUUGUGCAUCGGGAUUCCGGUGAUGCUUUGGGUAAUCUCAGAGUUGAGGUUUUCCACCAGGGAAUCCGUCGAGAUCGCGAGCUUCGUGAUUGAGGAUUUCUAUGCGGCUUGUGGUAAUUUGUGAUGGACUAGUUGGAGCACCCCUGCAGGGUUAAAUCUUUCGGAAAGCCAUGCCCGCGGUUAUGUGGAACAUGGAAGCUUGCAUGCNNNNNNNNNNNNNNNNNNNNNNNNNNNNNNNNNNNNNNNNNNNNNNNNNNNNNNNNNNNNNNNNNNNNNNNNNNNNNNNNNNNNNNNNNNNNNNNNNNNNCCCCCAAACCCAAAACCUUACGUACCAACGUUCGGUUUUGGGGGGGGAGAGUCCCUCCCCCUUGGCUCGGCCGACCCCCUUGAGGGUCCUUGGACCCCAAGGCAAGGCCCCUCCCUCCCACCUAUAUAUACGGAGGUUUUAGGGCUGAUUUGAGACGACUUUUCCACGGCAGCCCGACCACAUACCUCCACGGUUUUUCCUCUAGAUCGCGUUUCUGCGGAGCUCGGGCGGAGCCCUGCUGAGACAAGGUCAUCACCAACCUCCGGAGCGCCGUCACGCUGCCGGAGAACUCUUCUACCUCUCCGCCUCUCUUGCUGGAUCAAGAAGGCCGAGAUCAUCGUCAAGCUGUACGUGUGCUGAACGUGGAGGUGCCGUCCGUUCGGUACUAGAUCGUGGGACUGAUCGCGGAAUUGUUCGCGGGGCGGAUCGAGGGACGUGAGGACGUUCCACUACAUCAACCGCGUUCUCUAACGCUUCUUCUGUACGGUCUACAAGGGUACGUAGAUCACUCAUCCCCUCUCGUAGAUGGACAUCACCAUGAUAGGUCUUCGUGCGCGUAGGAAAAUUUUUGUUUCCCUUGCGACGUUCCCCAACAGUGGCAUCAUGAGCUAGGUUCAUGCGUAGAUGUCUUCUCGAGUAGAACACAAAAGGUUUUGUGGGCGGUGAUGUGCGUUUUGCUGCCCUCCUUAGUCUUUUCUUGAUUCCGCGGUAUUGUUGGAUCGAAGCAGCUUGGACCGACAUUACUCGUACGCUUACGAGAGACUGGUUUCAUCGUUACGAGUAACCCCCUUUGCUCAAAGAUGACUGGCAAGUGACGGUUUCUCCAACUUUAGUUGAAUCGGAUUUGACCGAGGAGGUCCUUGGAUGAGGUUAAAUAGCAACUCAUAUAUCUCCGUUGUGGUGUUUGCGUAAGUAAGAUGCGAUCCUACUAGAUACCCUUGGUCACCACGUAAAACAUGCAACAACAAAAUUAGAGGACGUCUAACUUGUUUUUGCAGGGUAUGAUUGUGAUGUGAUAUGGCCAAUGAUGUGAUGUGAUAUAUUGGAUGUAUGAGAUGAUCAUGUUGUAAUAGAAAUAUCGACUUGCACGUCGAUGGUACGGCAACCGGCAGGAGCCAUAGGGUUGUCUUUAUACUAACAUAUGUGCUUGCAGAUGCGUUUACUAUUUUGCUAGGAUGUAGCUUUAGUAGUGAUAGCAUAAGUAGCACGACAACCCCGAUGGCAGCACGUUGAUGGAUGAUCAUGGUGUGGCGCCGGUGACAAGAAGAUCGUGCCGGUGCUUUGGCGAUGGAGAUCAAGAAGCACGAGAUGAUGGCCAUAUCAUGUCACUUAUGAAUUGCAUGUGAUGUUAAUCCUUUUAUGCACCUUAUUUUGCUUAGAACGACGGUAGCAUUAUGAGGUGAUCUCUCACUAAAAUUUCAAGACGAAAUUGUGUUCUCCCCGACUGUGCACCGUUGCUACAGUUCGUCGUUUCGAGACACCACGUGAUGAUCGGGUGUGAUAGACUCAACGUUCACAUACAACGGGUGCAAAACAGUUGCGCACGCGGAACACUCGGGUUAAGCUUGACGAGCCUAGCAUGUGCAGACAUGGCCUCGGAACACAUGAGACCGAAAGGUCGAGCAUGAAUCGUAUAGUUGAUAUGAUUAGCAUAGAGAUGCUUACCACUGAAACUAUUCUCGACUCACGUGAUGAUCGGACUUGAGAUAGUGGAUUUGGAUCAUGUACCACUCAAAUUACUAGAGAGAUGUACUUUUUGAGUGGGAGUUCUUAAGUAAUAUGAUUAAUUGAACUAAUUGUCAUGAACAUAGUCUAAUGGUCUUUGCGAAUUAUGAUGUAGCUUGCGCUAUAGCUCUACCUUUUUUAUAUGUUCCUAGAGAAAAUUUAGUUGAAAAUUGAUAGUAGCAAACUUUGCAGACUGAGUCUGUAAAACCGAGGAUUGUCCUCGUUGCUACGCAGAAGGCUUAUGUCCUUAAUGCACCACUCGGUGUGCUGCACCUCGAGCGUCGUCUGUGGAUGCUAUGAACAUCCGACAUACACGUUGCUGAUGACUACACGAUAGUUCAGUGCAAAAUACUUAAUGGCUUAGAAGCAAGGCGUCGAAAACGUUGUAAAACGUCACGGAACAUAAGUGAUGUUCUAAAGAGAUGAAAUUUGUGAUUUCAUGCUUGUGCCCUUGUUAAGAGGUACGAGACCUCCGACAAGAUUCUUUGUCCACAAACCACAGGAGAAAAGGCUCAAUCGUUGAGCAUGUGCUCAGAUUGUCUGAGUACGACAAUCGCUUGAAUCAAGUGGGAGUUAAUCUUCCAGAUGAGAUAGUGAUAGUUCUCCAAAGUCACUGCCACCAAGCUGUGAGAGCUUCGUGAUGAACUAUAACAUAUCAAGGAUACAUACAAUGAUCCUUGAGCGAUUCACGAUGUUUGACACUGCGAAAGUAGAAAUCAAGAAGGAGCAUCAAUAGUUGAUGGUUUGUGAAACCACUAAGUUUCAAGAAAGGCAAGGGCUAGAAGGGAUACUUCGUGAAACGGCAAAACAGUUGCUGCACUGAUGAAGAGACCCAAGAUUGAACCCAAACCCAAGACUAAGUGCUUCUAUAAUGAGGGGAACAAUCACCGAGGCGGAGCAACUCAAGAUACUUGGUAAAUAAGAAGGCUGGCAAAAGUCGAAAGAAGAGUGUUUGAUGUGCAUGAUGUUGAUGUGUACUUUACUAGUACUCCUAGUAGCACGAGGGUAUUGGAUACCGGUUCGGUUGCUAAGUGAUUAGUGACGCGAAAUGAAAGCUACGGCAUAAACGGAGACUAGCUAAAGGCGAGGUGACAAUACGUGUUGGAAGUGUUUCCAAGAUUGAUAUGAUCAAACGUCGCAUGCUCCCUCUACCAUCGGGAUUGGUGUUAAACCUAAAUAAUUGUUAUUUGGUGCUUGCGUUAAGCAUGAACAUGAUUGGAUCGUGUUUAUCGCAAUACGAUUGUUCAUUUAAGGAGAAUAAUGGUUACUCUAUUCUCUUGAAUAUUCACCUUCAAUGGUUUAUUGAAUCUCGAUCGUAGUGUUACACAUGUUCAUGAUAUUGGUGCCAAAAGAUACGAGUUAAUGAUGAUAGUACCACUUACUUGUGGCUCUGCCGCUUGAGUCAUGUUAGUAUAAAUUGCAUGAAGAGGCUCCAUGCUGAUGGAUCUUCGUACUCACCUCAUUUCAAAUCACUAGUGACAUGCAAAUCAUACCACAUGAGCAAGGCCUUGUUUUCAUUGAGAUGAAAUAAGAUAGUAACUUGUUGGAAGUGAUACAUUUUGAUGUAUGCAGUCCAAUGGGUGCUGAGGCACGUAGUGGAUAUCAUUAUGUUCUUACUUCACUGACGAUUUGAGUAGAUACAGGAGUAUUUACUUAAUGAAUCACAAGUCUGAAAUGUUGAAAAGUUCAAUUCCGUUUCAGAGUGAAGUUCGUCGUAACAAGAGGAUAAACUGUCUACGAUAUGAUCAUGGAAAUGAAUAUCUGAGUUACGAGUUUUGGUACACAGUUAAGACAAUGUGGAAAUUGUUUCGCAGUUCAUGCCACCUGGAACAUCAUAGUGUGAUGAUGUGUCUGAACGUCAUAGCCACGCACUAUUUGGUAUGGUGCAUACUAUGAUGUCUCUUAUCGAAUUACCACUAUCGUUUAUGGGUUAUGCAUUAGAGACAACCGCACUCACUUUAAAUAGGGCACCGCAUAUUUCCGUUGAGAUGACACAGUAUAGACUGAGGUUUAGAGAAAUCUAAACUGUCGUUUCUUGAAAGUUUGGGGCUUCGACACUUAUGUGAAGAAGUUUCAGUCUGAUAAGCUCGAACCCAAAGCGGAUAAAUGCAUCUUCAUAAGGAUAUCCAAAACAGUUGGGUACAUCUCCUAUCUCAGAUUCGAAAGCAAAGUGUUUGUUUCUAGAAACGGAUCCUUUCUCGAGGAAAGGUUUCUCUCGAAAGAAUUGAGUGGGAGGGUAGUAGAACUUGAUGAGGUUGUUGAACCAUCACUUCAACCAGUGUAUAGCAGGGCGCAGGAAGUUGUUCAUGUGGCGCCUACACCAAUUGAAGUGGAAGCUGAUGAUGAUGAUCAUUGAGCUUCGAAUCAAGUUACUACAAACCUCGUAGGUCGACAAGGUCGCGUACUGCUGCAGAGUAGUACGGUAACCCUGUCUUGGAGGUCAUGUUGUUGAGCAACAGUGAACCUACGAGUUAUGGAGAAAGCGAUGGUGGGCCCAGAUUCCGACAAAUGGCUGGAAGCCAUGAAAUCCGAGAGAGGAUCCAUGUGUGAAAACAAAGUGUAGACUUUGGUAGAACUACUUGAUGGUCAUAGGACUAUUGAGUAAAAUGGAUCUUUAAAAGAAGACAGACGAUGAUGGUGAUAAGUCACUAUUAAGAAACGCUCGACUUGUCGCAAAGAUGUUUUCGAUAAGAUCAAACAGUUGACUAUGAUGAGACUUUCUCACUCGUAGCGAUGCUAAAAGUCUGUUAGAAUUAUGUUAGUUGUUGAUGCAUUAUUUAUGAAAUAUUGCACGUAGGAUGUCAAAACAUUGUUUUCUCGACGGUUUCCUUGAGCAAACAUUGUAUGUGAUACAACUAGAAGGUUUUGUAGAUCCUAAAGAUACUAGCAAGUAUGCAAGCUCCAGUGAUCCUUCAAUGGACUGGUGCAAGCAUCUCAGAGUUGGAAUAUACACUUUGAUGAGAUGAUCAAAGAUUUUGGGUUUGUACAAGGUUUAUGAGAAACUUGUAUUUCCAAAGAAGUGAGUGGGAGCACUAUAGAAUUUCUGAUAAGUAUAUGUGGUUGACAUAUUGUGGAUCAGAAGUAAUGUAGAAUUUCUGUAAAGCAUACAAGGUUGUUUGAAAGAAGUUUUCAAAGGAAUACCUGGAUUACGCUACUUGAACGUUGAGCAUCAAAGAUCUAUGGAGAUUGAUCGAAAGCGCUUAAUAGAAGUUUCAACAAGAUGCAUGCCUUGACAAGUUUUUGAAAGAGUUCAAAAUAGACCAGCAAAGAAGGAGUUCUUGGUUGCGUUGUGAGGUGUGAAUUUGAGUAAGACUCAAAACCCGACCACGGCAGAAUAAAGAGAAUAGACGAAGGUCGUCUUCUAUGCCUUAGCCGUAGAAUCUAAAGUAUGCCAUGCUGUGUACCGCACCUGAAGUGUGCCUUGACUCAAAGUGUGUUAAGAGGUACAGAGAGUGAUCCAUGAUUGAAUCACUAGCAGCGGUCGAAAUUUAUCCUUAGUGACUAAUGGACUAAGGAAUUUUUCUCGAUUAUGGAGGUGGUUAAAGAGUUUGUCGUAAAGGGUUACGUCAAUGCAAGCUUUGACACUAAUCCGGAUAACUAUGAGUAGUGAAACGGAUUCGUAUAGUAGAGCAGAUAUUUGGAGCAUUUCCGAAUAGCGCGUAGUAGCAGCAUCUAUAAGAUGACAUAAAGAUUUGUAAAGAACGCACGAAUCUGAAAGUUUCAGAACCGUUGACUAAAACCUCUCUCACGAGCAAGACGUGAUCAGACCCCAUAACUAUAUGGGUGUUGGAUUCGUUGGAAUCACAUGGUGAUGUGAACUAGAUUAUUGACUCUAGUGCAAGUGGGAGACUGUUGGAAAUAUGCCCUAGAGGCAAUAAUAAAUUAGUUAUUAUUAUAUUUCUUAGUUCAUGAUAAUCGUUUAUUAUCCAUGCUAUAAUUGUAUUGAUUGGAAACACAAUACUUGUGUGGAUACAUAGACAAAACACUGUCCCUAGUAAGCCUCUAGUUGACUAGCUCGUUGAUCAAAGAUGGUCAAGGUUUCCUGGCCAUAGGCAAGUGUUGUCAGUUGAUAACGGGAUCACAUCAUUAGGAGAAUCAUGUGAUGGACUAGACCCAAACUAAUAGACGUAGCAUGUUGAUCGUGUCAUUUUGUUGCUACUGUUUUCUGCGUGUCAAGUAUUUGUUCCUAUGACCANNNNNNNNNNNNNNNNNNNNNNNNNNNNNNNNNNNNNNNNNNNNNNNNNNNNNNNNNNNNNNNNNNNNNNNNNNNNNNNNNNNNNNNNNNNNNNNNNNNNGGUGUUUGCGUAAGUAAGAUGCGAUCCUACUAGAUACCCUUGGUCACCACGUAAAACAUGCAACAACAAAAUUAGAGGACGUCUAACUUGUUUUUGCAGGGUAUGAUUGUGAUGUGAUAUGGCCAACGAUGUGAUGUGAUAUAUUGGAUGUAUGAGAUGAUCAUGUUGUAAUAGAAAUAUCGACUUGCACGUCGAUGGUACGGCAACCGGCAGGAGCCAUAGGGUUGUCAUUAUACUAACGUUUGUGCUUGCAGAUGCGUUUACUAUUUUGCUAGGAUGUAGCUUUUGUAGUAAUAGCAUGAGUAGCACGACAACCCCGAUGGCGACACGUUGAUGGAGAUCAUGAGGAUGGAGAUCAUGGUGUGACGCCGGUGACAAGAAGAUCGUGCCGGUGCUUUGGUGAUGGAGAUCAAGAAGCACAUGAUGAUGGCCAUAUCAUGUCACUUAUGAAUUGCAUGUGAUGUUAAUCCUUUUAUGCACCUUAUUUUGCUUAGAACGACGGUAGCAUUAUGAGGUGAUCUCUCACUAAAAUUUCAAGACGAAAUUGUGUUCUCCCCGACUGUACACCGUUGCGACAGUUCGUCGUUUAGAGACACCACGUGAUGAUCGGGUGUGAUAGACUCAACGUUCACAUACAACGGGUGCAAAACAGUUGCGCACGCGGAACACUCGGGUUAAGCUUGACGAGCCUAGCAUGUGCAGACAUGGCCUCGGAACACAUGAGACCGAAAGGUCGAGCAUGAAUCGUAUAGUUGAUAUGAUUAGCAUAGAGAUGCUUACCACUGAAACUAUUCUUGACUCACGUGAUGAUCGGACUUGAGAUAGUGGAUUUGGAUCAUGUACCACUCAAAUGACUAGAGAGAUGUACUUUUUGAGUGGGAGUUCUUAAGUAAUAUGAUUAAUUGAACUAAUUGUCAUGAACAUAGUCUAAUGGUCUUUGCGAAUUACGAUGUAGCUUGCGCUAUAGCNNNNNNNNNNNNNNNNNNNNNNNNNNNNNNNNNNNNNNNNNNNNNNNNNNNNNNNNNNNNNNNNNNNNNNNNNNNNNNNNNNNNNNNNNNNNNNNNNNNNUUUCCUCGACGGUUUCCUUGAGCAAACAUUGUAUGUGAUACAACCAGGAGGUUUUGUCGAUCCUAAAGAUACUAGCAAGUAUGCAAGUUCCAGCGAUCCUUCAAUGGACUGGUGCAAGCAUCUCGGAGUUGGAAUAUAUAUACUUUGAUGAGAUGAUCAAAGAUUUUGGGUUUGUACAAGGUUUAUGAGAAACUUGUAUUUCCAAAGAAGUGAGUGGGAGCACUAUAGAAUUUCUGAUAGGUAUAUGUGGUUGACAUAUUGUGGAUCAGAAGUAAUGUAGAAUUUCUGUAAAGCAUACAAGGUUGUUUGAAAGAAGUUUUCAAAGGAGUACCUGGAUUACGCUACUUGAACGUUGAGCAUCAAAGAUCUAUGGAGAUAGAUCAAAAGCGCUUAAUAGAAGUUUCAACAAGAUGCAUGCCUUGACAAGUUUUUGAAGGAGUUCAAAAUAGAUCAGUAAAGAAGGAGUUCUUGGUUGCAUUGUAAGGUGUGAAUUUGAGUAAGACUCAAAACCUGACCACGGCAGAAUAAAGAGAAUAGACGAAGGUCGUCUUCUAUGCCUUAGCCGUAGAAUCUAAAGUAUGCCAUGUUGUGUACCGCACCUGAUGUGUGCCUUGACUCAAAGUCUGUUGAGAGGUACAGAGAGUGAUCCAUGAUUGAAUCACUAGCAGCGGUCGAAAUUUAUCCUUAGUAACUAAUGGACUAAGGAAUUUUUCUCGAUUAUGGAGGUGGUUAAAGAGUUUGUCGUAAAGGGUUACGUCAAUGCAAGCUUUGACACUAAUCCGGAUAACUAUGAGUAGUGAAACGGAUUCGUAUAGUAGAGUAGAUAUUUGGAGCAUUUCCGAAUAGCACGUAGUAGCAGCAUCUAUAAGAUGACAUAAACAUUUGUAAAGAACGCACGAAUCUGAAAGUUUCAGAACCGUUGACUAAAACCUCUCUCACGAGCAAGACGUGAUCAGACCCCAUAACUAUAUGGGUGUUGGAUUCGUUGGAAUCACAUGGUGAUGUGAACUAGAUUAUUGACUCUAGUGCAAGUGGGAGACUGUUGGAAAUAUGCCCUAGAGGCAAUAAUAAAUUAGUUAUUAUUUUAUUUCUUAGUUCAUGAUAAUCGUUUAUUAUCCAUGCUAUAAUUGUAUUGAUUGGAAACACAAUACUUGUGUGGAUACAUAGACAAAACACUGUCCCUAGUAAGCCUCUAGUUGACUAGCUCGUUGAUCAAAGAUGGUCAAGGUUUCCUGGCCAUAGGCAAGUGUUGUCACUUGAUAACGGGAUCACAUCAUUAGGAGAAUCAUGUGAUGGACUAGACCCAAACUAAUAGACGUAGCAUGUUGAUCGUGUCAUUUUGUUGCUACUGUUUUCUGCGUGUCAAGUAUUUGUUCCUAUGACCAUGAGAUCAUAUAACUCACGGACACCGGAGGAAUGCUUUGUGUGUAUCAAACGUCGCAACGUAACUGGGUGACUAUAAAGNNNNNNNNNNNNNNNNNNNNNNNNNNNNNNNNNNNNNNNNNNNNNNNNNNNNNNNNNNNNNNNNNNNNNNNNNNNNNNNNNNNNNNNNNNNNNNNNNNNNCGUUCCAGCGCCACCGGCUGGGUCGCCUGGGGCAUCAACCCCGGCGGCGCCGGCAUGGCCGGCAGCAACGUCUUCCUCGCCUCGCAGGGCGGCGGCGGCGGCGCCGCCGUCUCCGUGCUCACCACCGUCCUGAGGAGCACGGCCCCGGCCCUGGACAACACCACCCUCCAGUUCGGCGUGCCGGUGCCGCCCACCGCCGAGUACGCGGCCGGCGCCUACACGAUCUACGUGACGGUGGCGCUGCCGGGGAACUCCACGCAGCAGAACACGGUGUGGCAGGCGGGGCCGGUCAGCGGCGGGGCCAUAAUGCCGCACCCGGUGUCCGGGCCCAACUUGCAGAGCGUUAAGAGGCAGGACUUCCUGUCCGGCUAGAGCGCCCGACGAGGCAUAUGUUUGUACGCAAAUACUGUCAGUGUCAUGAUCAUGGAGUAUAAAAUAAAUCGCACGGCUUAUUCCUCAUGUUCCUGCUAUUAGACGUCGACGUCGUAUCAAAUGAAGUGUGCGCUAAACACUGUUUAUACGCUCCCAGCCGGAUUUAGGGACAUGGCUUACGGCGAUUAGUAUUUUUUUUCCGACGAAUUCACAAAGCUUUAUUAAUACUAGCAAAAGGGCCCGUGCGUUGCAACGGGAGAAAGAAAAUACCACACGCUUUUAAUCUUUUUAUAAUCAUUUUGAUUUAUUAGAAUAAUAAGUUAACUAACUAAUGUAGCCAGUCCUAUCCUAUUUUGUUGAGAAAUCAACCCGUCCAUUGUUAAUUCCACCGUGAUGAGAAAUCGAACGGGACAAGCAAAGCAAAACAAAGAGGCUACGUGAAUUGAUCAAUGGACUGUUAUCUUAUUUCACCCAUGGGGUAGAGAAUGUGGGAUCAGAUGACAAACUGAAGGUGGUGUUCCAUUUUCUCUCUCUACAACAAUGCAAUCUUACAUUCAAUACAUUCAUUCAUCAGCAAAAAAAUUCUCACAAAACAAAAUUUCUUGCCGGUGCUUGGCACACGGUUGGAGAGCAUGGGGAGGGGAUCUCACCAAAUGAUGAGUUCCUGCCGGAGGAGGGGAUACGAUGAGGGGAGCAAGGGUUAGGCGCCUCUAUCUGGCCAUAAGGAGUCGCCGUUGCCGCGCCAUAACCUCGGAGUUCCCCGUGUGAGCCAUGGAGGCCCGCCUCCACCUGCAAGUACUUCGCUCCGCCGCGCCUUAUCCGCACGCCGUCGCCGUUCUGCAUCGAGUAGACGCAUCAUCCCAAGUCGAUGUAGCUGUCGCGUUGAUUUGAUCCAGAAGCUGUGCUCGAGCGCCGAAACAGGGGCAACAAACGGGCAGAGGUACGACCGCGGAGGCGGCUGGGUUGAGAUCGACAACAAUGGUGGUUGAGGUCGGCCGCGGCGACGAGUGGUGUGGCAGCGGCCUGGGCACAGGCCAGGGUGGACCAGGGUCAACGCGAUGCGCUCGAGCGCCGCAACGGGGGCAGUGAGCGGGGAGAGGUACAACCGCGGAGGCGGGUGGGUUGAGAUCGGCAGCGGUGGCGGUUGAGGUCGGCCGCGACGGCGAGUGGUGUGGCGGCCGCCUAGGCAUAGGCCAGGGGUGGCCGAGGGUCGAUGGGAGGAGGCGGUGCGUACGGGUAUAAUUUUUGCAGCGAAUCGUUUUUUCCUUUUGCGAUUACGAGAAGUAAAUGAUGGAGUGCGGGUUGAAUAACAAAAAUUACAGUUUUUUWWUAAAAUGCCAUGAUGGGUUUUCCGACGGAAGCAAUAGCCGCUUUAUUAUUAGGUAUAGACUAGCAAAAGGUCCGUGGUUGCAACGGAAGAAAAAAUAUCACACGGUUUUAAUUUUUAUAAUCAUUUUAAUUUAUUAAAAUAAUAAGCUAACUAACUAAUGUAGUAAGUCCUAUCCUAUUUUGUUGGAAAAUCAACCCGUCCAUUGUUAAUUCCAUCAUGAUGAGAAAUUGAGCGGGACAAUCAAAGCAAAACAAAGAGGCUACCUGAAUUGAUCAAUGGACUGUUAUCUUAUUUCACUCAUGGGCUAGAGAAUGUGGGAUCAGAUGACAAACUGAAGGUGGUGUUCCAUUCUCUCUCUCUACAACAACGCAAUCUUACAUUAAAUACAUUCAUUCAUCAGCAAACAAAUUCCCACAAAACAAAAUUUCGUGCCGGUGCUUGGCACACGGUUGGAGGCAUGGGGAGGGGAUCUCACCAGAUGAUGAGUUCCUGCCGGAGGAGGGGAUACAUUGAGGGGAGCAAGGGUUAGGCGCCUCUAUCUGGCCAUAAGGAGUCGCCGUUGCCGCGCCAUAACCUCGGAGUUCCCCGUGUGAGCCAUGGAGGCCCGCCUCCACCUGCAAGUACUUCGCUCCGCCGCGCCUUAUCCGCACGCCGUCGCCGUUCUGCAUCGAGUAGACGCAUCAUCCCAAGUCGAUGUAGCUGUCGCGUUGAUUUGAUCCAGAAGCUGUGCUCGAGCGCCGAAACAGGGGCAACAAACGGGCAGAGGUACGACCGCGGAGGCGGCUGGGUUGAGAUCGACAACAAUGGUGGUUGAGGUCGGCCGCGGCGACGAGUGGUGUGGCAGCGGCCUGGGCACAGGCCAGGGUGGACCAGGGUCAACGCGAUGCGCUCGAGCGCCGCAACGGGGGCAGUGAGCGGGGAGAGGUACAACCGCGGAGGCGGGUGGGUUGAGAUCGGCAGCGGUGGCGGUUGAGGUCGGCCGCGACGGCGAGUGGUGUGGCGGCCGCCUAGGCAUAGGCCAGGGUGGCCGAGGGUCGAUGGGAGGAGGCGGUGCGUACGGGUAUAAUUUUUGCAGCGAAUCGUUUUUUCCUUUUGCAUUACAGAUAAAUGAUGGAGUGCGGGUUGAAUAACAAAAAUUACAGUUUUUUUAUAAAAUGCCAUGAUGGGUUUUCCGACGGAAGCAAUAGCCGCUUUAUUAUUAGGUAUAGACUAGCAAAAGGUCCGUGGUUGCAACGGAAGAAAAAAUAUCACACGGUUUUAAUUUUUAUAAUCAUUUUAAUUUAUUAAAAUAAUAAGCUAACUAACUAAUGUAGUAAGUCCUAUCCUAUUUUGUUGGAAAAUCAACCCGUCCAUUGUUAAUUCCAUCAUGAUGAGAAAUUGAGCGGGACAAUCAAAGCAAAACAAAGAGGCUACCUGAAUUGAUCAAUGGACUGUUAUCUUAUUUCACUCAUGGGCUAGAGAAUGUGGGAUCAGAUGACAAACUGAAGGUGGUGUUCCAUUCUCUCUCUCUACAACAACGCAAUCUUACAUUAAAUACAUUCAUUCAUCAGCAAACAAAUUCCCACUAAAACAAAAUUAACUUGUCGGUCGGCGUGUCGUCGACGUACGGUACGGGUCGGANNNNNNNNNNNNNNNNNNNNNNNNNNNNNNNNNNNNNNNNNNNNNNNNNNNNNNNNNNNNNNNNNNNNNNNNNNNNNNNNNNNNNNNNNNNNNNNNNNNNUGCAAGCRAUGUAACUUAGUGUAAGUUACGGGAUCUUGUAUUACGGAACGAGUAAAGAGACUUGCCGGUAAACGAGAUUAGAAAUAGGUAUGCGGAUACUGACGAUCGAAUCGUCGGGCAAGUAACAUACCGAAGGACAAAGGGAAUGACAUACGGGAUUAUACGAAUCCUUGGCACUGAGGUUCAAACGAUAAGAUCUUCGUAGAAUAUGUAGGAUCCAAUAUGGGCAUCCAGGUCCCGCUAUUGGAUAUUGACCGAGUAGUCUCUCGGGUCAUGUCUACAUAGUUCUCGAACCCGCAGGGUCUGCACACUUAAGGUUCGACGUUGUUUUAUGCGUAUUUGAGUUAUAUGGUUGGUUACCGAAUGUUGUUCGGAGUCCCGGAUGAGAUCACGGACGUCACGAGGGUUUCCGGAAUGGUCCGGAAACGAAGAUUGAUAUAUAGGAUGACCUCAUUUGAUUACUGGAAGGUUUUCGGAGUUACCGGGAAUGUACCGGGAAUGACGAAUGGGUUCCGGGAGUUCACCGGGGGGGGCAACCCACCCCGGGGAAGCCCAUAGGCCAUAAGGGUGGAGCACCAUCCCUUAGUGGGCUGGUGGGGCAGCCCAAAAGGGCCCUAUGCGCCAAGGAUAAGAAAUCAAAGGAAAAAAAGGAGGAGGUGGGAAGGGAGGGGGACUCCCUCCCACCAAACCUAGUCCAACUCGGUUUUGGGGGGGGAGAGUCCUCCCCCUUGGCUCGGCCGACCCCCUUGAGGGUCCUUGGACCCCAAGGCAAGGCCCCUCCCUCCCACCUAUAUAUACGGAGGUUUUAGGGCUGAUUUGAGACGACUUUUCCACGGCAGCCCGACCACAUACCUCCACGGNNNNNNNNNNNNNNNNNNNNNNNNNNNNNNNNNNNNNNNNNNNNNNNNNNNNNNNNNNNNNNNNNNNNNNNNNNNNNNNNNNNNNNNNNNNNNNNNNNNNGAGAUAUAGUGAGUUGACUAUUUAACCUCAUCCAAGGACCUCCUCGGUCAAAUCCGAUUCAACUAAAGUWGGAGAAACCGUCACUUGCCAGUCAUCUUUGAGCAAAGGGGGUUACUCGUAACGAUGAAACCAGUCUCUCGUAAGCGUACGAGUAAUGUCGGUCCAAGCCGCUUCAAUCCAACAAUACCGCGGAAUCAAGAAAAGACUAAGGAGGGCAGCAAAACGCACAUCACCGCCCACAAAAACUUUUGUGUUCUACUCGAGAAGACAUCUACGCAUGAACCUAGCUCAUGAUGCCACUGUUGGGGAACGUCGCAAGGGAAACAAAAAUUUUCCUACGCGCACGAAGACCUAUCAUGGUGAUGUCCAUCUACGAGAGGGGAUGAGUGAUCUACGUACCCUUGUAGACCGUACAGAAGAAGCGUUAGAGAACGCGGUUGAUGUAGUGGAACGUCCUCACGUCCCUCGAUCCGCCCCGCGAACAAUUCCGCGAUCAGUCCCACGAUCUAGUUACCGAACGGACGGCAACCUCCACGUUCAGCACACGUACAGCUUGACGAUGAUCUCGGCCUUCUUGAUCCAGCAAGAGAGGCGGAGAGGUAGAAGAGUUCUCCGGCAGCGUGACGGCGCUCCGGAGGUUCGGUUGACUGACCCUUCGUUCCUACGUACGUCCGACGGGCGUCCCGUCCCGGACGCUGNNNNNNNNNNNNNNNNNNNNNNNNNNNNNNNNNNNNNNNNNNNNNNNNNNNNNNNNNNNNNNNNNNNNNNNNNNNNNNNNNNNNNNNNNNNNNNNNNNNNAGCAAUGUAACUUAAUGUAAGUUGCGGGAUCUUGUAUUACGGAACGAGUAAAGAGACUUGCCGGUAAACGAGAUUGAAAUAGGUAUGCGGAUACUGACGAUCGAAUCUCGGGCAAGUAACAUACCGAAGGACAAAGGGAAUGACAUACGGGAUUAUAUGAAUCCUUGGCACUGAGGUUCAAACGAUAAGAUCUUCGUAGAAUAUGUAGGAUCCAAUAUGGGCAUCCAGGUCCCGCUAUUGGAUAUUGACCGAGGAGUCUCUCGGGUCAUGUCUACAUAGUUCUCGAACCCGCAGGGUCUGCACACUUAAGGUUCGACGUUGUUUUAUGCGUAUUUGAGUUAUAUGGUUGGUUACCGGUAMUGUAGCAUCAUUCCCACUCUUCUUUUGUACUGAUUUUGUUUUUUUUCAGAUUUCUUCAUUUCAUUGUUUCCACUGUUUCGCUUUGGUUUCCUUCGAUUUUCUUCGGGUUUCUAUUCGUUUCCUUYGUUUYCYAACGGUUUUUCGUUUUUCCUCUUUGUUGUUUCUUUCUUUUUUUUCUAUGGUUUUGCAUCUUUUUUAACUCAUGUCUAUUUUUUUACACACAAUGUACAUUUUUUGUAUACAUCAGAAAUAACUUUUAUACAUGGUUAAAUAUAUGAUUACCAGUUUUCUUAAACACAUGUUUCGANNNNNNNNNNNNNNNNNNNNNNNNNNNNNNNNNNNNNNNNNNNNNNNNNNNNNNNNNNNNNNNNNNNNNNNNNNNNNNNNNNNNNNNNNNNNNNNNNNNNCGGAACGAAACGUAAAACUAAAACUUACCGUACGACCGACCGAACGAACGUAACCUACUACUAGUGGUGAUCGUCCAUCUACGAGGAGGGAGUGAGUGAUCUACGUACCUAGUAGAUCGUACAGCAGAAGCGUUAGAGAACGCGGUUGAUGUAGUGGAACGUCCUCACGUCCCUCGAUCCGCCCCGCGAACAAUCCCGCGAUCAGUCCCACGAUCUAGUACCGAACGGACGGCACCUCCGCGUUCAGCACACGUACAGCUCGACGAUGAUCUCGGCCUUCUUGAUCCAGCAAGAGAGACGGAGAGGUAGAAGAGUUCUCCGGCAGCGUGACGGCGCUCCGGAGGUUGGUGAUGAUCUUGUCUCAGCAGGGCUCCGCCCGAGCUCCGCAGAAACACGAUCUAGAGGAAAAACUAUGGAGGUAUGUGGUCGGGCAGCCGUGAGAAAGUCGUCUCAAAUCAGCCCUAAUACCUCAGUAUAUAUAGGAGGGAGGGGAGGGAAGAGGCAGCCUCAAACCCUCAAGGUUGCCGAAAUUGGAGGUGGAGGAGUCCUACUCCAAUCCUACUUGAGUAGGAUUCCACCUUCCCACUUCGAAACUACUUUCCUACCUUGUGUUUUUCUUUCUUCUAACCUUAACUUAGGUCCGUUACGUUGGGUACGUUAGUUACUACGNNNNNNNNNNNNNNNNNNNNNNNNNNNNNNNNNNNNNNNNNNNNNNNNNNNNNNNNNNNNNNNNNNNNNNNNNNNNNNNNNNNNNNNNNNNNNNNNNNNNAAGGGUUGGGUUUGAGGGAUUCUGUUAUAAGGGUUGCAUUUGAGGGUUCUAGUCUUUGCCUCAAUCCCAACCCUUAAAACUGUCAUUUGAUAUAUCAUAAUUUUCAUCAUCUCAAUAACAUCGAAUAGUAUUUUCAAACACAUAAUAUUAAUUCAAUUUAUUACAACAAUGUUUUAAAGCAAAUUAUAAUAAUUGUUUGAAUCAAAUAGAACAUGGAAAAGUAAACAAAGGUAGAUCAUGGGACUUGGCGCCGUCCAGCCAACUGCCACUGGUGCUCUACUUGAUCAUCCCGGAGCUGCCACUGGUACGCACUAAACCCCAUGAUACCGACGGCGUAUCUACGAUGCUUGAAGUAAUCUGAGUCAGCCUCACAAUCGGUGACAAUUUUUACAAACAAACUACGACACAUUCGGUACCUUCUCCGGAAGAGGCGAGGUGGGUAUGUCGGUACCUCCGCGAAGUAGUCUCGCAUCAAAUGUUCAUGUCCGAGACAGCGGUUCCGGUAGAUGGUGACUCGCGCCAUCUUCGACCCUCUCCUCUGAUCCAUCAGCUUCACGCGGUCUUCAAACUCUUUCACGUCGACGAGGAGGCCCAUCAUCUCGAUGUCAUUGUCUUGAAGCAAGUCCUCAAUGUCCGAAUCGUCCGAUGACGACCAACCGGAAUCAUCGGACAACACAUCCAUCUACACAACACAAAACAAAAAAUGUAGUGUUGUUCUGUAACAAAAAUACAGGAAACAGGGCCGGCCGGAGCCCACGAUGGAGGAGGCCGACGGUGUGGACGAGCUCAGGGCGGUGGAGGAGCUCGGGGNNNNNNNNNNNNNNNNNNNNNNNNNNNNNNNNNNNNNNNNNNNNNNNNNNNNNNNNNNNNNNNNNNNNNNNNNNNNNNNNNNNNNNNNNNNNNNNNNNNNUUUUUUUUUUUUUUUUUACAACAGUUUGCACUUUGCAGCGGCCUAGAUAUCACAGCAGGAACCGGUCUCCCUCCCUCGGUUAUUCAGCGCCUUUUUUUAGACGAAGGUUUAUCGUUCAGCAGCCAACAAGACUCUGUCCCGCGUACCGGCGUGGAAGUUUCCACCCGCACGGCAACCUCCCCAACAACCGCGCCAUCACGUCGCCGGCUCGCCGGCAGUGGUACAUAUACCUCCUCCCCCCCCACCUCCUCCUCUCACCACCACCAGCUCCCAGCACCACCAUCUCCAUCGCCUCCCGCGCUCCAUUUCGCGCCUCGAACCUCGUGCUCUGACCUCCACCGCUGCCAUGGCGCGGCCAGGCCACUCCACGGCGUGGCUCCCCGUCCUGGUGCUGCUGCUCUCCGCGGCGGGCGCGACGGCGCAGAGCUGCCUCUCCGCGACCUUCACGUCCGGCCGCACGUUCCUCAAGUGCAACCAGCUGCCCGUGCUCGGCGCCAGCCUCCACUGGACGUUCCACGCCCAGAACGGCACCGCCGACGUCGCGUUCCGGGCCCCGUCCGGCGCCGACGGGUGGGUCGCCUGGGGCAUCNNNNNN
rnacentral:lncRNA from 1 species